AACAUGGGUGGUUUUUGCUGGGUUUCCAAAAAAUUUUUAAAAGAAAAAAAAAAAAAAAAGAAAAGGUUUUUGCUGGUUUUUCUUUUUUAAAAGAACUCCGUAAUCCCCCAAACAGGACGGGUACUUUCCGGUAUCCCCCUUUAAAAUUUUUUUUCUUCCUUUCCCUAAAUUCCCCCCAAUUUCCAAUUUCCCUUGUUUUACCCCCCCCGAAUUNNNNNNNNNNNNNNNNNNNNNNNNNNNNNNNNNNNNNNNNNNNNNNNNNNNNNNNNNNNNNNNNNNNNNNNNNNNNNNNNNNNNNNNNNNNNNNNNNNNNGGGGGGACAACCCCAUGCACGAGAGCCGCAUAGACAACUGGCCAAGGGCAUGGCUGCCCAUGAAGGUGGUUGGAGGAAGCCAUGUUGGCUGAUGGAGGAAUAUGAGAGUGGGUAUACCUGAGAUAGGGGGGUUUUUCCAGAGGACGGGUGGUGAAUGGAAGGAGGGGGAGGAACUUGAAGAAAGAGAGCUGUGAGAUAAGACAUGGGUGGUUUUGGCUGGGUUUCAGAGAUAUUUUGAGAGGAAAGAGAUAGAAAAAGGAAAGGGUUUUGGCUGGUUUUUCUUUAUGAAAGGAGCUCGGUAGUCGCCAGAGCAGGACGGGUACUUUCAGGUAUCACCAUUUAUAGUUUUUUUUCUUCAUUUCCGUAUAUUCCCUCAUAUUUCAUAUUUCUCUUGUUUUACUCUCUCUGAGUUCAACUCUACUUGUUGAGCUACUGUGUUUUGAUGAUUAUCAGUUUAAUCUUCGAAGAGCUUGCUGUAUUUUAAUGUUUCACUCUAGCAAGCAUCUUCCAUUUCAACCCACUGAUUGUUAGAUUCAUGGAUGAGAUAGCAAAAUGGGUUUAGCAUAUUUGUUAAACGUUCCAUGCUCUGUUUCCCUUCUAUCUCUUUGCUUCUCCGUUUUCGCCAUGAAAGAAAUCGUCAGGCUUUAAGAUUGAAAAUCUAAAGAGAUCCUAGAUCUGACUGAUACUAUCCAAGGCAUUAAGAAAGCUUGAAGGAGCGACAGUCGCAAGCUUCGUCUCUGGCAAAGCCCACUGAAGAUGCAGAGAGAGAAUGCCAUGCAAAACAUGUACAAGUUCCUUUGAAAAUCACUCGUGCAUGGCGUCAACUCAUAGGAUAUUCUCAUGGAGACGCAACCCGCUUCCAUGCCUAGAUUGUUCUCGCACGCCACCUUGAUCAGAUAGGAAAUGGGCAUGCAUUCAUUCUCAACUGUUACUCCCUCGUGCUCACUCGUCACCUUUCUUUUCUUCACAAAACCACCACCCGCCAAUACCCAUUUCCCUCUCUAACCACUGCAUCCAUUUCAUGCCUGUAUGCACCUAAACCAUGCGUGCAUGGUCACCCCACCUCAUUCCUUCCUCAAUCCUUACAUAACCGUCACCAUACCCACCAUGCUCAUAUUCCCACUCAUUCCUCUCAUGCAUCCACUCGUCUCUCCUAAGUUUCUCCAUCCCAUUUUUACUACAUGCAGCUAGUAUCUUGGCCAUGCAUGCACCCUCCCCCCCCCUCCCACCUACCAUGCUCAUCUCUCCACCCUCCUUGACCACUCGGUCCACCACCCAAGCCUCCCAUUCCCAUCCCUCUCCCAUUGCUUUCUCUAUUUUUUCUAUCAAACAAUCCAAGCCCAUAUCCCUUAGAUUGAAAGAGAUAUGUUUGUUUCUUCAUCUUUGGUGUUGAUCUUUUUUCUUUUGUUGUAACUUUUUGUUUUUGAGGAAUGGAGAGAAUGAAGGAGUUUUAGUCGUCUCUUGCGUCCCUUCUGGGGGUACUGGCCUUCUGCCAGAGCAUCCUCCGCGCCGUGUUCCCGUCGAAGCUCCGAUUUGCAGUGUUGAAGCUUUUCAAACGCUUUUUCAACUGCUCCUCCUACUGCUACUUCGAUAUCACUGAAAUCGAUGGCGUCAACACCAACGAGCUCUAGUUUCUUUUCAUGUCAACAAGCUUGUGCAUAGUUCAAAGAAUUUAAAAUAGUACUUAGGCAGGCUUCCAGGGUUACGUGAUUUAUGGCCCUCACAACCAAUGUUGUAUACACCUUUCUUCCCAUGGUUACUCUUUUUGGUCAUCAUAAUCAUUAACAGAGAUCAAAUUCUUUGGAGCCAUGUGCAAAAAAACUAUUAAAUUGAGAUAUGGGAGACCUCAGCUCAUCUUACCCCUUGAAAUGUUAAAGAUUACCUAAACAUGUUUGAGAACUAAGAGAAGAACCAAAAACAUAAAUUUGCAAGAUGAAACUAAAAACUAAAAAAUAAGAUUAAUUGAAAAGACUGGAAAAUUCAUUAACUUGGAAAUUAAAGAAAGGUUACAAAGAAAAUAAAUGAUUACAACUAAGAACUAAAACUAAUGUUAAGUUACUCCCACUCCUAAGAGAAAGAAAGACUAUCUAACAUUUUUAUCUCUAUCAUCUACUUCUAUUUGUAUAUUCAUAGUCCUUCUUUUAAUCUCAAUCUCCCCACAUUCCAACUACUCCCAUGCCAACUUGUCUAUAUUUGCCCUUUGCCCUUUGCCCAUGUUGUGGAUUUAGUCUUAUGUUAGUGCAGUUAAUCAAUCAUCAUUCUUGAUGUGUUAGCUUGAAGUUGGUGGUUGCACCUCUUUUUCUAUGUAAUCAACAUGGGGUAUGUUUUGGUAGUACAACUGAAGAUUUUGAGGCAUGAAUGAUUGUGCUACUUUGGGAGGUGCAUUGCUUUGGCAUUUUGCUAGCUUAGGUGAAAGGUGCACAACUUCUUAGCUUAGCACAAUUAAGAAGUGUGCAAUUUGUGUUGCUUAAAGGGGAUGAGCAAUUUGGUCCAACACACAUGAAAGGUGGACAAAAGAGACUUUAAGCAUUAGUCUUCAGGAUGCAUACAAGAGGUGCGUUGUGUGGCUCUACACUGAAAAAGGAAUGCAAAAUUAAGUCUUACUCACCUUAAAGUACACAAUCUACGUUUGGUUUCUACAUGUGCACUUUUGUCCCUAAGAGUUCCCAAAAAAGCUCUACUACAUAAAAAAUAUCUUAAAGCUCAUUGAAUACUCACAAAAUGCAUGAAACACAAUUUUCUAAGGUACUAACAACAAGAUAAAAUAGAUUCUUUAAAGCAAUCAAAACAGUGAGUUUGAGUUCUCAUCAAUUACUUACAAAAAAUCAUGAUACACAUUGGUCAAUCAUCACUCUAGUCUCCUUAGGGGGAAUGACACAAGUGUCAGAUUCCUAGAAAAAAUCUGCCCAAGCCUUAGAUCUCUCCAAAUGAUGUAUACAUCUAUAAAUCCUAAGCACAGUAGAAACUAAUAUGUCUCUUAAAACUUAUUCUAAGGUGAGAAAUAACUAGAAAUCACACCUCAGAUUUAGAUGUUUCCAAAUCCAUUUCCAAUCUAUGAAAAAUAAUCUUGAAGGCCUAGAGCCACCUAAUAGCUCUUCCUUUGAUCAUGAUAAUGAAGAAGGAAGGACUUCUCUCUAAAAAGAUAAAGGAUAGGUUUUUUUCUCUCUUUAGAAGACAUCAAUGAAUUAGAGUCUUUAAACCCAAACUCUAAAAGGGUUUAUGUAGACCUUCUUAUAGGCUUACAUGACUUAAGUCAGAUUAACUCUAGCUCCAAGGAGCAUAUGUUAAAUUUCCACUAAAGAAAAUGUUACGGCCAUAAUCUUUUAAAUCACAUGUCUUUUGGAUCACGCAAAGGAACAUAUUACCUCAAUCCAUGAGAUAUCAUGGUGCCUCUAUUGAGAAUACUUAUUGUCAUCGGCCUUCAUCAAUAGUGACCCAAUCCACAACGAUAUGACUACUUUAAGGUCUCAUCCAUAGGUCAAAGUCUCCUGUUAACUUUGGCACAGGCUCAAUAUCCUCUCAAGGUUGAGAGUUCAUGCGUUAUAGUAGCUUAAUGAAUCAUAACAAUUGAUAGUCUUAGGUCAUGAUUCACGUAGGUCUUGUCUAGUCUGACAUAAUGGCCUAAACAAGUCAUGAUCCCUCCAAUUAGGAGGUAAUGCACUACAAUCUCAAAUGGAUUGCUCAAAUCCAUAAACAAACUAUGGACAACUCAUCAUUCUACAAGGAACUCAUGACUUGGGUCUUCUAUGUAAUUCGUAAUGCACCCAAGUCAUGUACAAUGCAGGUGAUGUGGGGCAUGUAUGCUCAAAGAGUCCAAUCAAUGCAUAAUGGGAUAAUAAAAUAAAAAACUAGAAACAUAAAUAAAUAAAUUUAUAAAUGAAUUUUUAUCUAUUACAUCACGUCAUGCUUUCUAGGGCACAAUACCAAUAGUUAUAACCACUCAAUAGCCUUACAUCAUGACUCAACAUAGGUUAUGUCAAAUGUGUAAUAGUACACACUAGUGCACUCACCAUGGGAGCCUCAUCCCGAUGAUCAAAAUAAUUUAUCCCUAAAAUUAGGAGGUAGUGCAUUAUCAUCUCUAUCAGAUUGACUAAACUCAUGAACCGACUAUGAACUAUUUUUCAUCUUGCAAGGAACCCAUGACUCAUAUCAUCCAUGCAACUCUUGAUGCAUCCAAGUCAUGUACAAGAUAAAUGAUAUGAGUAUGAAUGCUCAAAUCAAUAUCAAUGCAUACAAUAAAUAGAUAAAGUGGAAGCUCAAGUCUAACUUUGUUAUAUCAUGUCUUACUUUUAAAGACUUUAUCCCAACAUAUAUGACAAGUCAGGUCUAGUGUGGGUUAGAUAGAUCAAUUUUCCCACUAGUCUCUAUUAUCUCUAUUUGUUAAUUGGAAUUUGAUGAGAAUAGAUGGACAUAUCAUGAUUUAUCUCAAUGGAAAUAUCUAUAGGUUUGCAAUUGAAGUUACCAGUUUCAACCAAGAGAUCUAAUGUAUGCUUUUGUUAUGAAAAGAAAAGUCCUUACUUCGACUCAAUGCCUAAGAAGUAUUUUAGAGCGCUGAAGUCCUUCAUUUCAAAUUCCUUAGCCAACUAGCUCUGAAGCUUCACUAUUUUUCUCGAGUUACUACUUGUAACAACCAUGUCAUCAACAUAAACAAUAAGCAUAAUAAUGUCAUCACCAUUUCUCUUAUUAUUUAGAGUGUGAUCUACCAUAAGUUGUUCAAAACCAUACUCUUUUUCAUCGAGUAGCUCAACUUUCCAAACCAUGCCCUUAGCGAUUCCUUUAACUCGUAUAGAGUCUUUUUUAGUUUACAUACCUUGCCUCUUUUUGGUGUAAACCCUGGAGGGGGAUUCAUGUAUGCCUUCUCUAACAUAUCACCAUGGAGAAAGGCAUUUUUCACAUCAAACUAUUGUGAUGGCCAAUUCAAAUCGACCAUAUGAGAGAGUAUGACUCUAACAGUGUCCAUCUUAGUCAUAGGGGCAAAGUCUCUUGAUAAUUAAUUCCAUAAAUUUGAGUAUAUCCCUUUGCAACCAAUCAAGCAUUGUACUUGUCAAUUGUCUCAUCUAACUUGUACUUUACUGAAAACACUCAUUUACUUCCCACUAUCUUCUUUUCCUAAGGGAGCUCAACCAUCUCCCAAUUAGAAUUCUUUUAGAGAGCCUUCAUAUCUUCUACCAUAGCAAACUUCUAUUUAGGAUCUUCAAAGGUCCCCUAAAAAUGACUAGAAAUAGACACAAAAGACAACUGAAGAGCAAAAGCAAGGUGAGUCUUAGAUAGACGACAAUAAGCGAUGAAAUUAGAAAUAAGAUAGACAACAUUAAAUGAUGAUUUUAAAAAACCCAAACUUUCAGGUUCUUUACCAUCAUGAAGAGUGAUUCGUGCCCACUUGGUGUCUCAGCUAAUUCAUGUCCAGCUGGUGUCCCUUGAUUUUGGUCCUCAGGGAGUAAUCAACAAAAUUUAUAACCUAUUACACCAUGUACUAAGGUAGCAAAGACAAAGCUACUAUAGCAUAGUGGCUCUAGGAUCGUUCAUUGGGAUGGGUUUUCACUUCACAAUUGAUAUUAAUUCAAAGUUGAAUUGGUGUCUUUUCAUUUCAAGGUUAGCUUUAAAAGAAAACAUAAUCUGUGGUGGAAAAGGUUGGUUUUAAGCUAACCAAAAAUAAUAACUGAUUUUAAUUACAAAGAAAAGUGUUUCUUGGAGUUUCAGAUCACUAGACUCAGAUUCCUUGUACAAAAAGAGAGUUUCGGUCACUUGUUUAUUUUCCUCGCAUUGGGGAUUUAACAUAUAGUUAUUUCCCGAACCGGUGUUGUACAGAUGCUUCCCAUUAAUGGGUUUAAACACUAAAUCUCUCUCACUGAUGCACCUUGCAAUGGCUCAUACCUCUCACCUAGCACUUGCCAUUCAAGGUGAUCUUUAACCUUGGAUUACCCGUCAAAAGCUCGCAAGAGAUAACUAAUGGAUGUCUCCUUGGAGUCCAAAAGCUUACCAAGUAUUGUCUAUUCUAGAAAAUCCUACCUUCAAACCACCUCCCAAAGGCUCGCAAGAGAUAAACUAGUGCAUCUCAAUGGAUGGAGAUCACUUGCCUUAUCAAGUGUUAGCCCAGGUGAUUUAAAGGCAUUUUAAGUUAACUAAAAAGAUAAAAACCAUUAACGGGUCACACUUUCUCUUCAUUAAAAACUAAAACAACAAAACUUCCAAUUUAUGCAUUUGGAAACUUACCCAGCUUUCCUCACUCCAAGAAACGAAGAGCCUAGCCUCUCAUCCUCUAAGGAAAAAUCCUCAGAGUUUGAUUGGCUAGAAAGUAAAAUAACGAGAAAACAAAAAUAUAUGAAAAAGUAGAGCAAGUGCUCUGUAUUUUACUUCCUUCCCAAAACUGUAAAAAGGAUCGAUCGAUAUAUGAUCGAUAUAUGUUCGAUAUUACAAACUAUAUAUAAGAGGUUAUUCACCCUUUUUCCAAACUUAAUAACUAAGGAAUCCUAUAAUUGGUGGGUUACAAGGAGAGUUUGGGGAUUUAGACAACAAAUAUCUAAAGCAAAAUAUCUCCAAAUAUCCCAAAAUGUCGAUCGCAAAUAUCGGGAAGCUUCAGGAGAACACCGCAACACUGUGCAGAAAAAUAUCUCAAAAUGUCGAUCAGACAUAUCAGGAAGCUUCAGGAGAACACCGUGGCACUGUGCAAAAUGGCUGCGAAACUCUCCGGAUAAGCGCUAUCAGAGGAUCCGGAUACGUCUGACCGAGGAAGUUGAAACGCCCUCCUCUUCCAUCCGGCGUCAGGCGCCGGAUGUGAAAUAUCCGGAUGGAAUGUGCCGGAUGUGAAACAUCCAAGUGGAAUGGCGGCGGAGCAGAAUUCCGGAUGUGAGACAUCCGGGUGGAAUGUUGGCAGAGCAGAAUUCCGGAUGUAAGACAUCCGGGUGGAAUGUCGGCGGAGCAGAAUUCCGGAUGUAAGACAUCCGGGUAGAAUGUCGGUGGAGCAACUCCAUCCGGAUUCUCUAAGAGGAUAUGUGGCGCGCUCCCCUAUCUGGACUCCCUCUUGGAGAAGCACACGACACUCGCGAUCAUUACACCCGGACGAUAGCAUAUCCUAUCCGGACGAUAGCAUAUCCUAUCCGGAUAUGUUGUCCGGAUGAAAAAGACAACCUGCCACAGCCUAUGUUCCGCCGCCCUCCGAUGGUGUGUCCGAACGCCCUGUGCCUUGCCAUGGAUUCCAAAGAACUCUCCUCAAUCUUGGAUUGCUUUGGUGAUCAAAAAGCUAUCAAAACACCAAAACUUAACACAAUUUGAUUAGAAUUGAUUGCAAGGGUCCUUAAUAUUUUAAUUGGGUUAAAAGGUGACAACUACUACUCAAAAGUGUUUAAAAGAGUUAAUUACAAGCAACGAAAUAACACUUUUUGAGUAGUAAUCACUCCCCCUAACCGACAAAUUGCUAGUCCCUUAGCAAUGGAGGAGAGAAAAAUAAAAAUAAAUAGUACUAUAAUUUACAACAUCAUGCUGAUCAAAAAACAAUUUUCAAGUGGCAUGAUGAUCUAACUCUCACAUGGAACAUUAAAGAAAUAAAACUCAAAGUUUCAACAAGAGUUAUCAAAUAACUUAUCUAAUCACAAUUCUUAAAGAGAAGGUAUUAUGCAAAUUUAAGCUUUAAAAGAGUUUCCACUCCCAAAGGGUCAAACCUUACUCUUCCACAAAAAUCUAAGUGUUAUUUAUUAGCUUCCGAAUAUAGUAUGUUGAACUAAUCUCUCUCCCCAACCUAGUUCUUUUUCAACGCUUAGCAAACUGGUCAACCUCCAAUAGGCUAAGAACGCACCUCUUUUUUCAUAAUUUUUUUUCAUUGUAGGAGUACAAGGCUUAAAGGUAUUCUUUUCUAAAUUGUCCAUGUAACGGGGGUCCAUCGAUGACUCCCAACCAAUUAAGGUUUAGGGCAUCAAGUUUUAAGGAUCUUUCAACCACUAACUCCUCGGAUUUUACCCCGGACUUUUGAGAAUGAAUUUUAAUACCCAAGCACCUACAGUAUGUUAAACUCCACCUAUCCACCCUUGUAACGAGCAUUGAGGUCGGUGAUUCCCAACCAAUGAAGGCUUAGGGCACCAGGUUUUAAAGAUUUUCACCAUAUACCCCUCAGACCUUGCUCAGGUUUCAAGGCAAGCAAACAUUUUUUCUUUCUUUCUUUUUUUCAAAGGCUCAUUGGCCUUUUACAAGGUGUCCCAACACUAUUAAAUGAGGUCAAAGGUACCAAGUCUAAAUUUUCCUAAGUCAAGAGGGAAAUAGUUUUUCAUCUUAUAAUCGGAACCUAUUGUGCACAAUGUGUGGAUAGCUUAAAGUGGAAGAACUGAGGUUGAAUUCACUAGAAGUUUCAACAAUUCAUCAACUUUAGUAAGCAUAAUACAAACUCUAAGUCAAGUAAAAAGACAAAAAUUCAAUUUCUCCCUUUUCAUUUUGAAAAUUUUUCCUUAAUAACCAUGGAGAGUAGAAUAAAAAACUUUAAAAAAUUUAAAAAUUAAGCAAAAAACAACUAAAUUACCAAAAUAACUUAGCAUUAUUAACAAAACUUCCUUCCUCAACUCUCCCCCUAACCAAGCUAAACAUUGUCCUCAAUGUGACAAAAGCGAUUGAAAAAUAGGGAGGAAGUGGUACCUCCUAAAUGACAUGGAGUUUGAGUCAUAUAGGAGAAACCACAUGUUUCAAAAAAAAACAUAAGAGUUAGUGCGUAGAGGAAAUAGAUAAAUGCCAAGUUUAAACAAAAAAUGAUGUCUAUGUAUGAUGUAUCUUCAGUAAUACAUCCAAUCCCAGAAUAUAAGACAUCAAAACAUGGAAUUAUCUAUACUAAUAUAAUAAGUAAAUACAAAAAAGUAAAGAGAUUAUCAAGUAAUGGUAGAGUCCUGUGGAGCUGAUGCAUCUGUGGUGGCUUCUUAAGUGGGUUGGAUCAGGACUUUGGCCUCUGUUCUGGUAGUCUCCUUAGGUGGCAUAGUCUCCUCAGUUGGAGCUCUCAGCUGGAGCUAUGGGCUCUGAUGGUUUUAGGAGGUUAGGAAUGGAGUGAGAGGCUUGGUGUGUGUGAUCCCAGGGUGCGCGGGGCUCUCCUCUUCAGAUGCAUGGUUUGCAAUUCCUCUUGAUUUUGAUCAUCCAAAAACCUAUGUUACAUCAAAACAAAUUAAACUUAAAGCAUUGAAAUCAAAAUUAAAACAAGUAAUAAAAUAAAACAAUAAGAUAUGGACUAGCUAGUCUUUUAGAAAGACUAAGUCCAUCAAAAAAUUUGAUCCUGAUUUAGCUUGCCCAGAUCCCAUAUGAAGUUUGCAUCCCUCACUUGAGACUUUCUCUGUAUGAUUUUGUCAUACAAAGCAUGGGGGAAAAGUGGAUGCAUGUGUUUCUUCAUCAUUUCUUCCUUGAUGACUAUCCUCUAUGGUUCUUCAUCUAUAUAGUCAUCUUUUUCUAUCAUUUUCCCCUUUUUCUUUCCUUUGAUUUCCUCCCUCUUUUCUUUCUCUGUUUCACUCUCUACCUCAUGCUCUAGCUUGCAUGUGGGCAGAUCAACCUCUUUAUCUCUCUCCUUAGCCUCCAUUUCAUGGAUACCCUUUUGAUUUUGAUGAGGUUGAGAAGGGUAGUUUUCUUUCUCUUGCACUGUGUUGAGGUUGACAAACCUUGAGAUUGAAUAUUGGAGAUUAUCUAUCUUCUGAGAUAGAUCAUUUUGCACUUCAUCCAUCCUGUCGAUUCUUUGACUGAGUUGAGCAUUGAUGGCUUUUUGAGCUCCAACAAAGUCUCCCACGACCUUGCUAAGAUUCACCAUAACUUUUUCAAGGUUUGAGGCUUGCUGUGGUGCUUGAGCAGGUUGCUGGUACUAAGGUGGCUGUGGUUUCCAAGAGAAUUUUGGAUGGUCCCUCCAAUUGGAAUUGUAGGUGUUGCAAUCACCAAACAUUUCCCUCACGACUGGAAUGGUAGGACACUCUUCCACCAAGUGCUCAUAAGAUAGACAAAUGGCACAAGGCAUAGCUUGCAAUGGUGUUUGAGAGAUGGUUUGCACUUCUUGCAUUUCUAGCUCUUCCAAUCUCCUUUCCAUAGUUGCAAUCUUUACCUUCAUGUCUAUGCCGUCAUUCAAAAUAUUCAUCUCACCCUUAGCAUUAGGUUGAGACAUCAUUCUUCCCAUAUCUCUAGCAUUUGGUUCAUCCCAUCCUCUUGAAACUUCAGCCACAUAACUCAUGAAGUUCAUGGCUUCCUCUACUAUCUCGUAUUCAAUAUGGCAUGCACAACUAGCAAUUUGUGAAUUAAAAACAAAGAAAACAAAAGAAAAUAAAAUAAACAAAAAUUCUAGAAAGGAAAAAAAAAUAUUAUUAAGAUUAACUAAAAACUAAAUAAAAGCUAUACUAAAAUAUGAACAAAGAAAAAAAAACAAAAAAAAAGAGUUAGUAAAAGGAAAAGAAAAGUCACCAAACUUGUGAUGAAGAUCACAAGUACUCUGAAAAGGUGAUAUCACUGUAAAGUGGCACCAUCCCCGGCAACGGCGCCAUUUGAUUCGUGCCCACUUGGUGUCUCAACUGAUUCAUGUCCAGCUGGUGUCCCUUGAUUUUGGUCCUCAGGGAGUAAUCAACAAAAUUUAUAACCUAUUACACCAUGUACUAGGGUAGCAAAGUCAAAGCUACUAUAGCAUAGUGGCUCUAGGAUCGUUCACUGGGAUGGGUUUUCACUUCACAAUUGAUAUUAAUUCAAAGUUGAAUUGGUGCCUUUUCAUUUCAAGGUUAGCUUUAAAAGAAAACAUAAUCUGUGGUGGAAAAGGUUGGUUUUAAGCUAACCAAAAAUAAUAACUGAUUUUAAUUACAAAGAAAAGUGCUUCUUGGAGUUUCAGAUCACUAGGCUCAGAUUCCUUGUACAAAAAGGGAGUUCCGGUCACUUGUUUAUUUUCCUCGCAUUGGGGAUUUAACAUAUAGUUAUUUCCCGAACCGGUGUUGUAUAGAUGCUUCUCAUUAAUGGGUUCAAACACUAAAUCUCUCUCACUGAUGCACCUUGCAAUGGCUCAUACCUCUCACCUAGCACUUGCCAUUCAAGGUGAUCUUUAACCUUGGAUUACCCGUCAAAAGCUCGCAAGAGAUAACUAAUGGAUGUCUCCUUGGAGUCCAAAAGCUUACCAAGUGUUGGCUAUUCUAGAAAAUCCUACUUUCAAACCACCUCCCAAAGGCUCGUAAGAGAUAAACUAGUGCAUCUCAAUGGAUGGAGAUCACUUUCCUUAUCAAGUGUUGGCCCAGGUGAUUUAAAGGCGUUUUAAGUUAACUAAAAAGAUAAAAACCAUUAACGGGUCACACUUUCUCUUCAUUAAAAACUAAAACAACAAAACUUCCAAUUUAUGCAUUUGGAAACUUACCCAGCUUUCCUCAUUCCAAGAGACGAAGAGCCUAGCCUCUCAUCCUCUGAGAAAAAAUCCUCAGAGUUUGAUUGGCUAGAAAGUAAAAUAACGAGAAAACAAAAAUAUAUGAAAAGCAGAGCAAAUGCUCUGUAUUUUACUUCCUUCCCAAAACUGUACAAAGGAUCGAUCGAUAUAUGAUCGAUAUAUGUUCGAUAUUACAAACUAUAUAUAAGAGGUUAUUCACCCUUUUUCCAAACUUAAUAACUAAGGAAUCCUAUAAUUGGUGGGUUACAAGGAGAGUUUGGGGAUUUAGACAACAAAUAUCUAAAGCAAAAUAUCUCAAAAUAUCCCAAAAUGUCGGUCGCAAAUAUCGGGAAGCUUCAGGAGAACACCGCAGCACUGUGCAGAAAAAUAUCUCAAAAUGUCAGUCGGACAUAUCGGGAAGCUUCAGGAGAACACCGCGACACUGUGCAAAAUGGCUGCGAAACUCUCCGGAUAAGCGCUAUCAAAGGAUCUGGAUACGUCUGACCGGGGAAGUUGAAACGCCCUCCUCUCCCAUCCGGCGUCAGGCGUCGGAUGUGAAAUAUCCGGAUGGAAUGUGCCGGAUGUGAAACAUCCGAGUGGAAUGGCGGCGGAGCAGAAUUCCGGAUGUGAGACAUCCGGGUGGAAUGUCGGCGGAGCAGAAUUCCGGAUGUAAGACAUCCGGGUGGAAUGUCGGCGGAGCAGAAUUCCGGAUGUAAGACAUCCGGGUAGAAUGUCGGCGAAGCAACUCCAUCCGGAUUCUCUAAGAGGAUAUGUGGCACGCUCCCCUAUCCGGACUCUCUCUGGGAGAAGCACACGGCACUCGCGAUCAUUACACCCGGACGAUAGCAUAUCCUAUCCGGAUAUGUUGUUCGGAUGAAAAAGACAGCCUGCCACAGCCUACGUUCCGCCGUCCUCUGAUGGUGUGUCCGGACGCCCUGUGCCUUGCCAUGGAUUCCAAAGAACUCUCCUCAAUCUUGGAUUGCUUUGGUGAUCAAAAAGCUAUCAAAACACCAAAACUUAACACAAUUUGAUUAGAAUUGAUUGCAAGGGUCCUUAAUAUGUUAAUUGGGUUAAAAGGUGACAACUACUACUCAAAAGUGUUUAAAAGAGUUAAUUACAAGCUAUGAAAUAGCACUUUUUUAGUAAUCAAAGAGGAUAUCUCAUACCUUGAUCACCAAUUUGUGGAUUCAAGGUAGAAGUUUCAGAAGUUACAAGUGAAGGAACAUGUACCUUAGGAUUAGUCUCAAUGGAAAAGUCAUUUAAUGGUAUGGUAGUAUCAUUAAUAGGAGUAUUGAAACCUUGAAAAGGUAUGACAUUAGCAUUUUUGUUCUUUCUUAUAUAACCUUAUUAGAAUAAUUUGGUUGGUCUUUCACACUUCCUUUCCUCAUAUUCAAACUCAGUUGUCAGAGGGUUGGGAGCAUCUAAAGACUCCCCCUUAUGCAAAUCAGUUGAAUCCUUACUAUUAAUCUCCCCUUAAAGAGGAACUAGAAACACAUUCCCACAAAAAUAAUACUCCAGUUUGCAGAAGUUGACAUCCAUGGAGACAUAGUAUUUUCUUGUAGGAUGAUGAAAACAUUUAUAGCCCUUUUAAGAACUAGAGUAACCAAGAAAGACACAUUUAAGAGCACGAGGAUCAAGCUUAUCCCUUUGAUGAGAGUGUAUACAAGCAUAACAUACAUAUAAAAAACUUUAAGACAAAGAUUCAAAACAGAAAGAAUAGGGUGAAAUUUUGAUAACAUUCACAAAGGACUUUGAUAAUCAAUGACAUGAGCAAGCAUUUGAUUGAGGAGAAAUACAACACUCUUGAUAACCUUAGCCUAGAAACAUUUUGGGACACGCAUAGUAAAGCAUAAAGCUUGGGCCACCUCUAGAAUGCGUUGAUUUUUACGCUCUACUAUGUCAUUCUAUUAUGGUGUGUAUGUACACAUUGUCUAGUGGAGAUUCCAUUUUCUUUGAAUAAAUCAAUAAGGGAUUGAAUUAAAAACUCACAACCAUUGUCAAAGUGAAAGACCAUAACCUAAGUAUUAAAUUGUGUAGCAAACAUUUUGGAAAAUUGAGGAAUAACAUGUAGAACAUCAUUCUUAGACUUAAGCAAAUAUACCCAGCUCAAUCUAGUACAGUCAUCAAUAAAAGACACAAAGUAUAUAUGAAUAGAAACAGAAGAAGUAGAAAAUUACCUUACACAUUUGUAAAAACACAAGUAAAAGGAAUUGGACUUUUUUGAGACUUAUUUUGAAAUAUACACAAUGAUUUUUAGCAUAAAUGCAUUGUUCACACCUUAAAAUAGAAACUAAAAUAUUCCAAAACAACUAAGGAAAUAAACAUUCCAAAUAAGAAAAUGAUGGGUGGUCUAAUCAGCAAUGCCAUUAAAAAAAUCUUUUCUCUAUCAAACAUCUCUUUUGCUACUUGAAAAACACGAUUAGAUUCAAAUUGUAUCUUGCCCCCUAUAAGUUGUAAAGACCUCCCAUUUCCUUACCAAUUCCAAUCGUUAUCUUCAUAAGAUUGUCCUAAAACACACAAUGAGUAGAAUGAAAGCUUACAAAAUAAUUAAGAUGUUUGGAAAUCUUGCCAAUGGAAAGAAGACUAUUAAAAAGAUUAGAUGCAAGUAAGACAGAGGACAUGGAGAGUAUGGGAGAAAGUGAGACAUUCCUGGCUCCUGAAAUUAGCAUAAAAGUCUCAUUAGCAACUUGAACAAACUUAAUAGGUGAGAGCAUUAAAGAGUCAAGAAAUGAAGAAUUACUAGUCAUAUGAUCAAUGGCCCCUAAAUCAAUAUCCAAUUGUUAAAGGUAACAAAAAUAAAGGCCAAUCCAAAAUUACCUUCUUGAGAAGACAAUCAAGAAACCUCACAAGCAGAAGUUGGAGGAGGAGUGUCGAUAAGAGAAACCUAAGCAGAUUUCUUGUUCUUUCUUUAAGCUUGCUUAAGCUUGUAAUACUUUGGAUAAUUAUGCUUCUUCCAAAAACAUUUACCAUAUGUUUAGUGCUAUUUGCAAUUGUUAGAAAAAUUAGGCUAAUCCGACCUAUGAUAAUCACCCUAGAGGGGGAGUGAAUAGGGUGAUGAUCUCUUUUUGUAAAUUUAAAUUAUGUGAAUACAAGAGACAAUUAUAUGCAAGUAUAUAAUAAAACAAUAUAAAGACAAUUGCAUAUAAAUUAAAAGAGUAAGGAAGAGAGAAUGCAAACACAAGAUUUUAUAGUGGUUCGGCGCAAUCCGACCUACAUCCACUCUCCUCAAGCUUUAAUCUCAAGCUUGAAGUUCCACUAAUUCAAGGCUUUGAAACCAAGCCUUCAAUCAAUACAAUUGGAUUAUGGUUCCAAUCCACCUUCUUGGACUUUUGGCUCCAAGCACCCUUUAUAGUUCUCAAAAGAUACCCCAAUCUUGAAAAUCCCUAAGUAAUACCUCACACUUAGAUUCUUCCUCUCAAAGAUAUACAAAUAAUUUCACAAAAUCCUAGUACAAAACUUUAGGCUCAAAUGAUACAAGAAAACUAUGAUUGAAUGGUGCACUAAAGAUAUGCAAGUUUUAGAACAAUGGUGCACUCAAAAACACUCUUCUAAGGCUCAAAUAUAUUCAAGAAAUGUUUGGAAAGGUUAACCUCAUGAAACAAUGAAUAUUGGAGCCUUUUUAUAGAAGAAAACGACCAAACUAGCCGUUGGGGGUUGGACCGGUCGAGUUGGGGGUCAACUAGUUAACUGGCUAUUAGCAUUUAAUAUUUGGCAGGUGACUGUUAGACCUCAACCGCCCCUUGAGCAGACCUUAACCGGUUGAGGUGGGGGUCAACUACCUCCUCAUUCGGUUGAACAACCGUUCUAGAAAAGAGAUAAGGUUUUUUUGCACCACUCGACCAAUUGAGCUAGGGGUCGAUCGGUUACUAUUCAACCUUGCUCAGUUGAACUAGGGGUCGACCUGCUUCUAGAUCGGUUCAACCUGUUGAGCCGUUUUUGGGUCAACAGCCAACUUUUUUAACUUAAAACCUUUUAAACAAGUUUGAAAAACAUUUAACACAAGGUUUUAGUUGAAAACAUGAAAUCAUCCAAUUUUAAAUAUUUAAAACAAAAUAACUCUUAGAUGAUUUUGGUGCAUAAGUAAAGAAUGUAAUGCAUGAAAAUCCUAGUGCACUAACAACCUUACAAAGAGAUCUUAUGAAGCUUGGGUCUUGAAAAACACUUCUCUUUGAGGUGGUCUUCUUCUUCAUGAUUUCUCCUUGACUUAAUUUGUCUUUGUGAUUGCCACUUUGGAAAUCGUCUUGCCUAAUCUUACUUGAAAUAUAAUCAUUAAUUCUAAACCUUGUUUUGUUAUCAUCAAAACCGAGAUUAACCAAACCUUGGUUUCAUAGCAAUGAGUUUAGAAGCAAGAAGAAGAGUUGGUAGAAAGAGUUAAAUAUAUUGGUCAAGUGUUAUUCUUAUGGACAGCCAUUGUAGAAGCCUUAGAGUGAUCUUAUGUUCCCAUGGUGACCUACCUCCGCACUUCACGAUAGACUAGUGAAUAGGCUUUCUCUAGAUUUAGUAAAGAAGAGUUGACUAAAACAUAACUGCUAACUUGAUUCAAAUUGUGAUCAAGACCUAUAAGAAAUAUAUAAACCCAAUCCUCAGCAAUAUGCUUCAUUUGUUUCUCAAUAUCAGUUACACACAUCAUAUCAUUGGGUCUUCGAUAAUCAAGUUCUAUGAAUAUUGAGUUUAACUCAUUGUAGUAUUCUACAAAGGGGUGACCACCUUGGUGUGAUUGAAAAGAUAUUUUCAUCAGUUCAUAUACUCGAGAAGAAUUCAAAGACAUCAAGAUAACUUCUCUUGACUGCGUCUCAAACCUCCUUAGCCAUUCCACACUACACAAAGUGUGAUAUCAACUUGUUAGUCAUGGAAUUGAUGGGCCAAGACUUAACUAGAGCAUUUUUAGCCUCCCAUUCAUCAUAGUUUGGGUCAUCCUCUGCAAGUGUAAUCUUCCUUCCUAUGAUAUAACCCUUCUUCUUUCUACUAGUAAUAUGUAUCUCUAAAAUUUGAAACCAAACAAGAUAAUUAGAACCAUCCAACUUAAUAGAAAUUGUUGGAGAGGUAGUCUCAUAAAUGGUCACCAUGGAUGACCUUUUGUUGUCAAAAACACUCAAAUUUGCUUUUGUAAACAUGCAUGAUAUGGUAACGAAGAGGGUGAAAAAAAUUAUGGAAGAAGAGUCGACUAGGCAAUAGCAUAAAUUCCCUACUCCAGCUUUGAUACCAACUUGAUAAAUUGUUGAAUACUCUUUCGAUAUAACUCAAGGGUAUUUAUACAAGAUGCACAAGAUUAUUUUAGUAUUGUCAACUAUUUAGAAUAAUAAACAACUAUACAAAAAAGAUACAAUUGUAUAAUAUACAUUAACUCAAUUGUAUAAUAUACGCUAACUCACAGCUAUAUAUGCUAACUCAAUCUCACCACUUUUUUUUCUAAUAUUUGUAAGUUAAUAAUAAGAAAAAAGAUUAUUCAAAAGGUAAAAUCAUCAUCUCAUAAGUUGAGUCCUCCCUUGACAUUUUGGAUAUUUUCCCUUUCUUUUUCAUUUCUUUCUUUCAAAAACUACUACUUUUCCUAAUCCAUGACCUCUCCAAGCCAUUGUCCCCAUUAACAUUGUCUCACCAAUCGCCACAGAAAAUCAUUAUUUUUACCUCACAUUCUCUCUGAUCUCUGCAUAACCCUCUUAUCUUCUACACAUAAACCCGUCAAAACCCCAUUUGUUCUUCUCUAAUAUCCUAAGAUGCACCUACACAACUCCUAGGUAUAAUUAUAAUCUAAAAUUUAAAACAAAUCUUGAAAGGAUUGGCCAACGAAAGAAGUAAAAAUUGUAUUUUGAAGAUGGAAAGGGAAGUCACUCUCACUAUUUGCCUUUUCUAGUUUCCUUCUCUUUGCCUUCCAUUAAAGCUAAAAAGAAGGAAGUUGGACCAACCACACCCUCCUUUACAUAUCAAUUCAUCCAUUUUACCAUUCUAUUAAUUGGAUAAUAAGUUAGUAGUUCUAGCAUAGUGUCACAUUGUCCUUAAAUGACCCCUUACGUGAGUACAUAUAGUUCAAUAGAACUUUCUAGUCAUAAAGGUAAAUUGCUUAUAUCCUCAAUAAACUCAGCAACCUUCAAUGGUUUAGUGAGGCUCCUCUAAAGGUAGGUGAAAGUGUUAUGAACCCUCAUUUGGCCAGGCGCUAAGCACUAGGACCAAUGAAUCCUUGUAAAGUGGUCUUAUAUGACAAAAACUCAACUUAUUACUUCUUAUUCAUCUCUAACUUUUGCAACUUUACAUGUCUUAAGUUAUUCAAGUACUGUAUAGGUUGAUUCAGAAACAUUUAAUGUCAACUCUCAUCAAAAUGGUACACACAACAAGUUAAGUCAUAAGAUGAAAAAUAUCAAUUUUUACAAAUAUACCAAUAGAAUGAUUUUACAAAUAUAUUGGAAAAUAUCAACAAAAAUUUUGACAAAAAAUAUCGAUAUAACCAAAUUUGAUCAAAACUCAUAAAAACAUUUAGGAAAACUUCAAAAUGAUAAAGAAACAAUAAUACAUAUAUUGAAAUCGCUUUGUUGAAUAAAUUAAUACAUUUAUAAUAUAAGUUGUGAUAUUCAACAACAAUAUCAUGUGUAUUGAUAAGAAAUAUGAAUUUUAUAAAUAUACACUUAAUAUUAAUUUACAUUAAGUAUUUAAUUUAAUUAAAUGUCAUGUCAAUUAUUUAUAAAUAUUACACUAUAGUGGUUUUUUUUAGUACUAAAAGGAAUAUCAAUGUAAUUCCAUAACACUAUUGAAUGAAGGAAUCUUAUCUCGAUGGAGACAAUAAUAUAUAUAUUAAAAUUGUUUUAUUAAAGAAAUUAAUAUAUAAAUGAUAUAAUUAGUGGCAUUCGUCAAUAAUACCUAAAAUUUGAAAAUACAUUUAAUACUAAAAUGAUAAUAUAUCUACUUUACAAAUAUAUGUGAUUAUUUUUCUAUUUCAAAAUAUUUAUAAUAUUGUUUACAUAUUUAUAUAUUUGUGCAUUUAACUCAUGAUUUUUGGAUUUUUAAUUGUAAAUUAAAUGGAAUUUGAAAAUAAGAUAAUUAAAUUAAUUAAUUUAUUAAAAAUUUAUUUUUCAUCAAUGCGUACAAAAUUUACGUGUCAAUAUACCAUAGUAUAUAAUAUGUAGGGUAGGAAAUUUAACAUGGGCAUGGUUGCCCAAGUGGAUGGAAGCUGGCUUUUCACCGGGAAGAACAAGGUUGAAUCAGAAAAAAAAAUCCGAUAAAUCAGGAAAAAAAAAUCCAAAAAUGACAGGAAAUUUCAACCAUUCGAUACAUCCCAUAAUAUUUUAUACAGGGGUCUACCAAAACCCGAAAUAUCGAUAAUAUUUCGCCAUGUUUUGAUGGCAUUUUUUCAUUGGUCACAGACGAAAAUUUUCUAUAUAUCUACCUGUAAACCCCCUGUUUUGAACCAAGUGUAUUGGUUCAAGUGAUAUGAUUUUUAUUAUUAUUGCCUUCUUUUAUUAUAGAUAUAAGUUGAAGCAAGGUGGCAUUUCAAGGAGGAUCCCAGAGUGGGAUUUAGUGAGGAGGGGGGACCUCCCUUUCGGCAUGAAAGCAGCUACGAGAGAUGGGAUGUGCAGCAAGUCAAGAUGGCAGGGGCCAUGCUGGUGAUUGGAGGGCCAUGCUGCUGAUGCGAGGAACAGUAGGGCAAGUAGAGACUUGCCAAAGAAGAUAGGAACAGGGUAAGGAGGAAGGGGGGAGGAGACCAGUUGAAAGAGGAAGCUUGGGGGGAAAAAAGCAGGGUAGCGGACGGAUUUUCUGGAGAGAAGCUUGGAGUCCUGCUGGUCUUGCUGGAAAAGACUUCCUCAGGUAUGAAUGCAACUGGUUAUGGUUUGAUUCGGAUUCUUGCUAUCCCAUGAAUGCAACAGGCUAUGGUUUAUUUCGGAUUCUUGCUAUCCCUCUGCAUUUUCUUAUUGAUAUUUUGGAUAUUUGUUGUUUUGUUUGGAGUGGAUAAUGAAGGCCACUUGUUGCUUAUUGAGAUAUAACCGUGCAUUCAUGUUUGGCAUUGUUAGUCUGAGCAUGUCUAUCUCUGUUGCGAAAUGCCCCAAAAAUCAUGCCAAUAUUUGCAUUUGAUAUUAUUCUUCACCUAGUCAGAGGGCUCACGGAUGACCCACGAAUGAAGUCUCAUUUGAGGAUAUUUUCAUCUCUUAUUUUUCAUGCUCUGUUUCCAUGAUUUCUUCUUUGUUGUGGCUAUUCCUUGUUCUUGGACCAUGUUCAGUGCAUGAACUGUGAGAGAGGAAAUCUGGGUUUGACUGCGAACUUUUGCAAGGGUAUAUGUUCACAAGGUUUAGAUGACAUGGAAGAACAGAACUGAAUAGAAAAGACUUCAAAUGAUUCAACACUCCAGCUUCGUUAGCGUUAUUCUUUUUUUUGGCAGCCAAUAUGGUGAGAAUAGAUCAUGGUUUGAAGAAACGUUCAAUGGGUUUCCUCACUAAACGGCAUCAUUACAGAGCACUGAUUUUCCCAUUGGCAUGAAUAGCAGCACCUAGACACCAACUGGACAUCUUGUAUUUUCAUCCCUCUUAGUCGCCCUGAAUCCUACCGACCCAUUAUAACCUCUUCAUGAACCCGAGGCAAUAACAGUGAAAAUACAUUGAGGUGUCAUGAAAUAUCUAGAGAGCUAUUAUGGAGAAUAAGGACCUUUGUGGCAGACAUUUGUAUCAUCUUUAUGAGUGUAUGAACCGCUAUCAGUUGGAGGUGCAGAUGACCCUCAUGAGGGAAGAUAUGACUUUGAUGGUGCAGAAGAAAAAAAAAGGCCUUGAAUCCUUUAUAAUCCAAUUAUUUGCGUUGCUGUUGACCAUUGUGGGUGGCAGAAGAUUGGCAAAGGCUGCUGCAAAUAGAUUUAGUGAGUCACACGAGUUCAUUCACUUGCAUUUAAGCCCCACGUGGAUUGGGUUGAUGGGAAAAUGGGUUUCUAUGGGUUUGUGGCCUUUUUUAUUAUUAUUAUUAUUAUUAUUAUUAUUUGUUUGUUUGCUUUUCUUAAGUGCAAGCCUGUUUGCCACGCUAAGGCCACUCCUAUUUUUAUCAUUUUCUUAGUUUUUCCAACUUUUGAUGCCAAAGAUUCAUUUUCAAAAUUUUAUUUUUAAUUUAAUUAUUAUAAAAAAAAAUUCCUAUUAAAAAAAAUAUAUAUAUACAUAUAUAUAUAUAUAUAUAUAUAGUUUUCACAACUUUGACCUCCCAAACUUAAAUUAUUUUAUUUAUUUAUUUAUUUAUUUUUAAAAUUUCAUCCUUAAUAAUUUUUCGGGUUUCUAAUUUUUGGAAAUUUAAUUUUUCGGCAUUCCGUCCUUAAAAUAAUUUUUCGGGUAUCCAAUUUUUGAAAUUUAAUUUUUCGACAUUCCAUCUCUAAAUAAUUCUUCAAUUUUCCAAUUCCCAAGUUCACUUCCCAAUUUUCACAACUAUUUUCCUAAUCAUCAUUACUAUUAUUCCAUUCGUUUAUCUAUUCACUUAUUCUUUCAUUUAAAAUCUCAUUUUUAAAUAACUCUUCAAACUUUCAAUUUCAAAGAUUCCACUAUUCACGUUCAUUCGUUUAAAUAUAAUUCUCAUUAUUAUUAUUAUUAUUCCAUUCAUUUUAUUUUACAAAUUCCAAUAAUUAAAGUUCAAAUUUUCAAAAUUCCGUUUUCUAAAUUUAAUUUUCAAUAUCAGAAAUUCCACUAUUCACAUUCAGUUGUUUAAUGAUUAAUUUCAUCAUUAUUAUUAUUUCAUUUAUUUAUUUAUUCACUCAUUCGUUUAUUAAAAUUUCGUCUUUAAAUAAUUCUUCAAAAUCCCGAUUCCUAGAUUUAGUUUUCCGAAAUUUUAAUUCCUUUCAAAUUUAAUUUCUAAAAUUCUCAUUCUUGUAUUUAGUUCCUAAAAUUCCAAUUUUCAAAUAAUCUCUAAGACUCCAAUUUUCAAAUAAAUUUCAAAAAUCCAGUUUUCCCUUAAACUGUUUUUAAUAUCUAUUUGGUGACGCAUGUGAUAUGUUUUGUGCUCUUUAUUAUACACUGACUCCAUUUUUAUGAUAGUGCAUUGCUCGUUCGUGGCCCAGGUACGCAUCCCUUCCCAUUUCGAUCAUUCUCUAUGCAUAUUUUGAUUCCCACGUGUGCAUGGUCGAUUUGAGUAUCCAUUAAUUUUCCCAUCAAUUGCCACGUCAGCUUCAUUUUAUUAGUAGAGACCCGAUUUUAGGGACUUAGAGGGGUGCUAUGGUUUUUUUUACCGUACCUUCCCGAUAAGUAACCUGACCCCCGAACCCGAUCCGGUUUUUCGUAGACUAACCUUUUCCAAAACAAGGAGUCACACUUAGGGUUUUUCUUUCUUAUUUUGUUUACCCUUUUAAAAAUAAAACAAAAAUAAGUGGCGACUCCAAGUCAUUUUCUUAAUUAAUAAAUCAUUUUUCAAAAUAAAAAAUGAGCUCGCCAUCAAGUGGGAAACGCAUCGAGCCGAAAUGUGGGGUCCACACUACCAUUUCAAUCUAUCUUUCUUUUAUUUUUUAUUUUAUCUCUAUUACUUUUUUUUAAAUGAAUUAAAUAUCAUAAACAUACUCCUUAUAUUUAUUUUUAUUUUUAUUUUGAUUUCUCAAUUACUUAUGUGAAAUUCAUAUUUAUUAUAACUUUCUCUAAUAGAUGUUGAUUUUUUUAAUAUUUGUACUAAUCCAAUUUUUUAAAUAGUGCGUUUUCUUUUUGUUUUAAUUUCUUUUCCUUUUUAUAAUUUUACAACGGAGAUGGUGGCACUUUUUUUUAUUGGUAAGGACAAAGGAGUUUUUUAUUUGACUAAGGCUAAAAGUAAAAACUAAAAAAUAAAAAUAAAAUUUAAGAGUUCGAUUGUCUAUAUUUUCUAAAAUUUAUUUUUAAAAACUAUUUUUAAGUUAAAAAAUAAAAAAUUAUUUUCAAAAACAAGUUUUACAUAAUAUAAUCAAACUGACCUAUGUUUUCUUUUAUUCUAAAAAAUUGAUGAAAAAACUCUUAUUUGAUUUUUUAAAAAUUAUUUUCUAUUUCACUUUGUUUUUAAAAAUUAUUUUCUGGAACGAUGAUGUGUUAAGAAUUUUUAAAAACCAUUUUUUGUUUUUAAAAAUAUAUCAAACGGCCAAACAGGCUGUGCGCAUGCGCUUGAGUAUGGGGGACAACUUUUAUUGCCACAGUAAGUCAAACUCUACCAAAACUCUUGAACAAACUUCUAGAUCUUUAAUUUCUUACUAAAAUUAUUAAUUUUUAUCUAGAAAAUAGAAUAUUUGAGGUACACAAAUUUUGCAUACUCUUGUCAAUUUUUCUUUAUAUAGAAUUUUUCUCUAUUUUUUUUAUUUAAAUUGUUGAAUUUAUUACAUCUCAAAUUUUGUAACUGUUCUUACUAAGAUUUUAACCAUAUUAUUUCCAUGUUUUUGUUGUAUAAUAUCUCUAUAACUAAAAUUUGUGGGGAUUAAUUGAUUGAAACUAAGGCCUCAUUUGGGAUGGUUUCAUACAUUUAAAAGGUAAUAUUGGUCUUAUAAAACCAUGGUUUCAUACAUGGUUUCAUACAUGUAAAGGCCUCAUUAUUCUUACAAAACAAUUUAAUAAGGAAGAUAAAUAAAUUAAUUUAUAUGCUCGGUAUAAUUUAUUUAAUUUUGAUAAGUAUUAAAUAUAAUGUAUUUAACUAUUUUUUAUCUUAAUUUAUUGUCUUGUUUAUCAAAUUAUAAAAUUAUGUAAAAAUUAUUAUAAAAAUAAUAAUAGAUUAAUUAAAAUUUGUAAAAAAAAAUUACUUUUAAAAUGUAUAUAACCAAACUCAUUCAAAAUUUCUUUGUUUUAUUUUAUUAACUUUCUAAUUGAUUAUUUAUUUAUUUUUAUUUUAUCUUUUGAUUAUUAAGUAACAAUAAAUUAUUGAUGCAAAGUUUGACCAUUUUUAUAAUUACUCUAAAAAAUUUUGUAUUUAAAAUAUUAAAAUCGAUUUAUACUUUAAAUUUUUAAAUAAUUUUUAAGUCUUUAAGAAUUAUUGUAUAUUAUGUGUGACUUAUUUUUGAAAAUAGAAAACAAGAAGUGGAUUUAAACAAUAUCUUAAUUUUAUUUUUCUCAACUUCUUAAUGGAUUAUUAAAUAACACAAAAUUAUAAUUUUGUAUUCUUUCUUUAUUUUCCAUUUUUCUCUCCAUUUUUGCUUCUUCGAAUUUUCCAAUAAUCAAACACAAACUUGAGCAUCUUGUUCUCCUACAUGGUUUAAGACGGUUUUGUGAGAAUUUGUUUUCAUUUUAUUUUUGUAAAUGUCAUUCUUUAGGUUAUAAAGUAAGGUAUUUUAUUAUUUAAUAUUUUAUGUUGGGUGAGGAAGUAGUCAAAAGUUGACGAGAAAGUAGAAAAAGUACCCAAUCUCCAACCAUUUUUGUAAGGUAGCAUCCACUUUCCUUUCUUCCUUGUUGUGUUGAGAAUAGCCUAUUUUAUUUGAAAUGAUAAUUAGUAAUGACUUAUUUGAUUCACAUUACUACAACAAAAUAUUUCCAAUGAAGCCUGUUUUAAAUCCACCCGCAAGAGGUGGUGAAGCCAACAAUUUAGCUCGGGGGUGGGAGAGGGGCAACCUUUGAAAUAAAUAUGGGUCUUACCCCAAUGGUUCAGACUUGUCAUUAUUAUGGGAACAAUAACAAUGAGUCCUCUUAUUGUAAGAAGUAUAUAUAUAUAUUUAACAUUUUUAGGGGGUAGGGUGUGUCGCGAGUGUGAAUGCUUCUCUUUUAUCGUUUGUAGAUAGUUCUUGCUUUUUCUAUUUAUCUUCUUUCUUUACAACUCAACACCAAAAUAAUGAACAUUCUUCUUUCACUUUCAGUUUUUUUUAGAAUGUAAACAUUGAUGGAAAAUAACCCUUAUAUCUACAUUAUACAUUUAUUUUUUUUCAAUCUCUUAGCUUUUACAUAUUCUAAGAUCUAUCUAGUUUCACCAUUGAACUUUUUCUUUUGAAAAAUGUUUCUUUCACCAUCUUACUUUAUCAUAGUUUUAUCACCUUCUAUGUAGAUAUAAAAUAAAGAUUAAAAUUUACCUUUUAUUUCUAUCUAUAUAUAUCCACUUUUUUUCCCCUUUAACCAUCACUUUAUCAUAUUUUUGGUUUAUAAAAAAACACAAUGAGUUGUAGCUUAACUAAUAUGCCUUCAAAGUUCAAUUUGUUAGUGUGAUUAUAACUUAAAAUUAAAUAAAAAUUAAAAAUAGAUUUAAAGUAAAUAAAUUAUUUUAUAUACUUUUUCAAACUCAUUUAACUUAUUUUCCUCAAUUAUAUAAAUAUAUAUAUUAAAAAAAAUUUAAAUGCAUAAAUUUUUAACUAAUUUAAUUAUAUUUCAUUUUUUUCAUAUUUUUUUAUAGUCAAACCAUUUUCCUUAGGCUAUAUUUGGUUCCCAAAAAGCAUAAAGGAAAGGAAAAAAAAUUACUGAAGAAAAUGUUUUUUUUCAUGUUUGGUUUCACCAUAAAAUUGUCUAAAGAAAAUUAGUUAGAAAUUUAUACAUUUUAAAAUUAUUUAAUUUUUAUAUAAUUAAGAAAACUAAGUGAAAUGAGUUUGAAGAAACAUAUAAAAAUAAUUUAUUGAUUUUGAAUAUAUUUUUUAUUUUCCUUCAUUUUUCUUUCUUCUAUUUUUUCUCUUUAUUUCAUUUUUCUUACAUAUUCCCUCGAAAUUUCCAAGUACCAAACAUAGCAUUAAUAUUUGUUUUCUUUACUUGCUACUUUCUGAAUACCAAAUAAGUCUAAGGAAGAAAUUUAGUGUAUCAUGAUGGAGAAGAGGAAAAGAAGUAGCAUUUGCAAUAAAGAUAGAAUUUUAGAGUUCAAUGUAAAAUCAAUAAUUAGAAUGAUAAAAUCAAUAAUAGUGGUGGCCAUAAUUCCCAUGAUGAAAAAAAAUUGAAAACUAGAUAUAGCUUAUAGCCUAACAAUUUUUUAAACCUAUCUUCAUAUCAUUCAUUCAAAAUGCCUAUUUUAAAUAUUAUUUCCUGUUUUAGAAGCUGCAAACAUGUAAUAACUGAAACAAAUCAAAUGAACAUAUUCGUGUUUUCAUAUAAAAAUUAAUAAAAUUUUCUUAAAUAAAAUUCACAAUAUUUAUUUUUGCAAGGCCUUAAUAGAUCUUAUUUUUAUUAAUUUCUAGAACCCUAUCCUUAAACUUGUCACUGAUAAACCCAUUUCAUCCUUUUACAAACAACUCUGAACAAAUUAAUGUAAUUGUGCCCAAUCCAAUAUUCAAACAUAUAUACGUAAUAGUUUGUUUCAUGAUCCAAACCUGAUAACAGGCAAUGAGCUUAUUACAAAGAAACUAUGGAGUAGUACAAGGAAAAAUAUCUGUUUAUAAUUAAUCAGCUUUGGACCACUUGCCAGAGUUUGGAUAUCAUAGUACACAUGCAUCAUAAUUUGACAUGGAUUCAUCAGAAAACCAGUGGAAUGAUAAAAAAUUUAUUUGUCUCAUCUCUUGGGAGCAUGAUAGUUGAUUUCUUCCAGCAUGAGAUGCACUCCUUUGGACGGAGGGAGUCAGGCUUGCACUGCAUCAAUUAUCAAAACCAAAAGAAAACAAACCAUGCAUUUAGGGAUCACAUCCCGUGGAAGUUAUGGAAGCAAGAACAUUAAUAAUUAAUUGUUUUAAAAAAAAAAAUCAUAAAAGUAAACAAAAUAUCGUAUGCUGUGUGUACUACUUAAGAUCGAAGCAAUUCAAUUACCUCUCUGGAGUGCAUGCAGCUAGAGCUAGCGAUGCUAUCAGAACGGCCGAUAAAACUGAACUUGUGAAAUAUGAGAUAAUUUGGACAAAUCGAUCCCUCCUCGCACAGUAGGACAGUCGAUGAUAUGCAGUUUCUGUAGUGCAGUAAUCUGGAGCAGGCGCUCGGGCAGGCUUUCCAGCUUAGGGCAUUCACAUGUGAUCAAGGAGUGGAGACAUGGCAUUACUGACCUCCAUUCUUCUUCUUCAUCUUCUUCUUUUACUUCCCACUUUUCCCACUCUUUCAUACCAUAAAAAAUGAGUUGCUUCAGCUUUGGGAAUGCAGUUGUUGAAGAAGAUCCCAAAAACUCACCACCCACGUAUUUCACUCUCUUCAUAUUCUUUAUUAUCAGGAUUUCAAGGAGAGGUAGUUCCCCCAAUGGAGGCAAACAUGUAACCUGUGCGCAAUACACAAUUUCAAGCUUUUUCAAUUGGGCCAGCGAUGAGGCCGCUAUCCAACUGGGGAACUCGGUGGCAGCAUCGUAAUUACUUAUUUUUAAAGACUUCAAGUUUUGAUGAGGCUGUAGAGCUUCAGCCACACCUUUUGAAGCAGCUGAGGCAAGCCGCCCAAAAUCCUCUAGUUCCAAAUGAUGGAGGUGUUUCUUAUUCUUCAAUUCUGCUUCGCCAGCCUCCUCUGCAUCUUUCACAUUAGCUAUCCCACUUAUCACAAGACCUCCCCUGAGGCUGUUUAAGUUUUUCAGUUCUCCUAUUUUGCAUACAUCACGUCUAAAAUGAUCACCAAUUAUAGGAAACCCAGUUAAUGUCCGAAGUGAGGUCAAUCUCCCGAUUCCUUUUGGCAACAUCAAUACUCUACUGCCUUCCCAUUCAAGAUGUCUCAGGUUAAUUAGUUUUCUCAUCCCCUGAGGUAGUGUUAUGAGCAAAUCUGAAAGAAUUAAAGUUUGCAAAUUAUAUAGAUCACAAAUUGUUUCUGGCAAUUCCCCUCCAAUCAAAUUAUUUGAUAGAUUAAGGAGCCUCAGAUGUAUCAAUUUCCCCAAGUUCCUCGGCAGUUCCUUAAUUAACCGAUGCCCACUCAAGUCUAAUGCCCUAAGGCAUACCAAAUGUUUGAAUAAAUUAGGUGGGAGUUUAGCAGUGUUCAAAUGGGCCAUACCUGUAGCAGACAAUGUGUGCAGAUAUUUCAAAUUAUGGAUAGUGCUAGGAAAUCCAGCCCCUGGUGUGCUAAUUAAGGUUGCAUGACGAGCCUUUUGGAAGGAGGAAGCCAUCCUCACUUCCUUUUCAUCAUCAAUCUCCAGAAUGAAGCAUUCAUUCUUGGUCAAAUAUUGGGCAAGAUCAUGCACUAUAUCAUGCAUCUUGCACGAUAUUAUGUUGCCCUCAUCAUCUCUAUCAAAAUCUUGGAAAAGUGACCGUGACACCAAGUCUUCAAAGUAGUCUCCCCCUGUUUUCUCCAUCUCUAUACUUUCUCUAGAAUUGAGAUAGCUAUUUGCCAUCCACAACUUGAUCAAUCUAUCUUUCCUAAUGAUUUGAUCUUUUGGGAAGACAGCACAAUAUGAGAAGCAGCGUUUAACAGCAGGGGAUAAAUCAUAAUAACUCAACAAUAAAGGAGUGGAAAGAUGUUUCUCAAUCACAUCAAGUUGCCAUAUUUCAUUAUUCAAAAUACUCUCCCAAUCUUCUUUAUUAUCUUUUAAGCGCAUGAGACUCCCUAAAACUUUUGCAGCAAGAGGCAAGCCCCUACACUUGUCUGCUAUUUUCCUGCCAAUGUUUUCUAGUUCUUCAACUUUUUCCCUACUCCUUCCGUAAAAGGCUAUGUUACUGAACAAUGACCAACAUUGCUCCUUGGACAAUUCUCCCAAGGGGUGCUUGUACGUGGUUCCCAUCAUUGUAGAAACGUUUUCGUUUCGUGUGGUCACCAAAAUUCUACUUCCCGGUGCCCCACCCUUGAGAGAACUCUCUACUUGUUCCCACAAUUCAUAGUUUUCAGUCCAAACAUCAUCUAGCACGAGUAGGAACUUCUCAUCGGCAAUAAGUGUGCAAAUUUUUUGUUGUACAGCUUCCAGAUCAUGGAAACCAGAAGACUUUUUCUGGAGGGCUUCAAGAAUAGCCCUAGAAAUCCUCAUUGGGUCAAAAGGAUCAGACACACAGACCCACAUCCUUUCAUGGAAAUAGGACUUCACCUUUUCGUGGUUGUAUGCUAAUUGAGCAAGAGUUGUUUUGCCGAUCCCUCCCAUCCCAACUAUGGAGACGAUGUAGAGGGAGGAGCUUUCUUGGCAACUCCCACCCAACAGCUUGCCUAUUAUAAUGUUUAUAUCUGCAUCCCGACCGCAGAACUGGCUAACAUCAAUUACAGAACUGGUUAUACGUCUAUGUGGUUGCUGGAUGAUACUACUUGACACAAAAUUGAACUGAUUUCUCUCAUUUGCAAUGGCAUUUAGUUGUUUUUUUAUGUCCUUAAUCUGAAGAGCAAUAUCAUGGCGCAAAGAAACUUGUUUGAAGCAAACACAAGGGGAGGGAAGGCAGGAACUUAUCUUGGGCUUAGGGAUGCCAGGGUUUUCAGCUGCAAUCUGUAAUUUGAGAAGAGCAGUGCUCCACCCAUCCACCACGUCAUCCAUCUGGUAGGAGAUGUCCUUGAGCCUUUCUAACCAAACUUUUACAAGUUCUUCUGUGAACUGUCUCUUCUCUGCAUCUCCAAGAACAGCUCUGAUGCUCUGGAGUGUGCUUUUUAGGUUGUCCACCUCGCUUUCGACACCCACCACCAGUGUAACUUGUUGACGAAUCUGUUGUUCCAAGACUGAAGCCAAUCGCUCCAGCACGAUAGAAACAAGAGCAUCCGCCAUAAGGGUUGAUGAAUUAGGUGGGGUUGAUGAAUCAAAGAAAAUGGACAGAUACAACUUAGAUCAAUGGAGAGAAAGGAUGUGGAGCUUUGGCGAGCUUAAUUAUGUUCCCUUAAAUAGAAUGGAAGAGAGGUAUGAAUGGAUUACUUAAAAAUGGCAUUUCUGUAUGACAAGAUAUGCUGAUCUUCUUCAUCACUUCUUCCCUUUCUUUUCCUUCUCAAGAGAAACCUCCAAAUCCAAUGCCCAAAUCUGCAUGGAAAAGCAUUUCUUGCCUCUUUGGAAUGGCAUUGCCAGUUACACAAGUUUUGGACAAAGGCAAAGCAUCUUUACUGGAUAGAUUUUAUAUUCCAAUCUUGCACUGCACUUUGUCUAAAACAUUUCUCCACUUUAAUUCAGGUACGAAUCCACUUUCAAUUCUAUUCUAGAAAAGGCUAAGCUGAUUUCUAGUGUUUAUAUAUAUAUAUAUAUCCUUACAAAUAAUAAGUCUCUUAGAAAAUUUUAAACAUCACUAUAAAGAAUUUAUAAGAAUUUAUUUGGUCACAAAUAUAAUUAAAAAAAAAUUACCCUAAUAUUGUUGUUAUUUAAUUAUUUGUACUAACUCUGACAUUACAUUUGUUUUAAAAAUCGGAUAAGACCAAUCAAUCAAAUCAUUGACCAAACCUCAGUCCUAUUCAAUUCAAUUAAUUGGAUCAGAAUGGGGUCAAAAUGGCAUUGAACCAGAGUGAAACUGACAGUACAACCGCUAAACUGGUGAGUCGGCUUAGUAGUUCAGUUUAACCUUUUGUCAUGUUUGUCCAAGUCAUUGGAUCUUUGUUUACAGACCCAAUGUCCUAUUAAAUCUUAUUUUUUAUCCCUAAUCCAUAAGUCCAUCAAAUAGAUGGACCAUAGGAGAAACUCUUCCCAAUUCGUUAAGCAAGUUGACUCAUGUAUGGUUGAAUUGGCAUAUUCACAGGGUGAUAAAGGUAGCUGGAGUCACUCGAUGUGGAAUCAAGGAGCCCUUUUUUAAAGAGCUAUAAAAGGGAAUGCACAGUGCCCGGUUGAAAUGUAACAACUUUGUAUGAAAAAAACAUUAAAAUAUUCCAAAACUUAAAAGUAAAUAUAAAAAUUUAUGAUUUAUCUAAUAGUAUAUGAUAAUAAAUAUCAAAAUAAUAUAGAUAAAACAACUAAUAAUUUUGAAAAUAAUAAAAUAUGUAGCUAUUAAAAUCUAAAUAACUUUAAAUAAUAAAUCUUAUUUAUAAGAAUAAUUAUAACUUACAUAUAUUUGUCCACUAUUAAGAAUUUAUUUGGUUUCAAUAACAAAAACAUUAUUGGAAAAAACAUGAUAAAAAAUUACCUUAAAAUAUGGUUAAUAAUGUUCGUCUCUUUUAUAUGGUUUUAAAACGAUUAAAUAAAAUUUACUACGUCAUCCUUUAACAUGUUUUACAUUUUACCCUUUUAUAUUCAAAACCAAAUACUUUGUCUUUCAACUUGUUAAAGAACAACUUUUUGCAUAAGGAAUUGCUUUUUUUGCUCUUUUGAACAUUGGUUCAAAUUCAGGUACCAUCAACUUGAAACUAACAAAUUUGAAGUGGAAUUUCUUAGACACUUUCAAAAUAUGACAUCUAUAGUUUUGAUUUUGUAUUUUAGAGAGAUGUUCAUAUAAAUAUAUAUAUAUAUAAUGUAAGAUUUUGAAUGUGAGAGGGCAUAAUGUAAAAUAUGUCAAAGAUUGAAUAGGUAAAAUAUAUUUAACCUAGUUUAAAAUAAUGUUUCUUAGAAACAAGAUAGUUGUAGAAAUUAUCAAGUGACUAGUAUUCUUUAUCAUGUUGUUAAAAAUGUUAGUGAUUUGAUAAUUAAUUAUGACAAAGAAAAUAAUACACAUUAAAUUUUUUUUGCAUUUUCCUUUGUUUUGCUUUUUAAAUGAAAAUUUAAAAAAUAAAAUAAAAUCAUUUUCCUUGCCGCACCAUCCAAGCUCAUCAUAUUAAUUAACAAGUUCAUCUAUAUCUUGUUAUUUCCUACUUUCUAAGAAAAAAAAAAAGAGAAGGAAAAUAUGUUUGACAACUAGAAAAUAGAAAAUAAUAUAUUUUUUGAAAACAUAUUUUAAUUGUUUUUCACUUUUUAAAAAAAAAAAUCAUUUUAAAAAAUAACAAGACAAAUAUGAAGAAUAAUUGAAAAUAAAAUAUUAUAUAUAAAAUUUAUUUUUAAAAAUUAUUUUAAAUACAUAAAAUAAAUUGAAUAUAUUCUAAUUUUUUAAACAAAAUUUAAUUCAAGAAAACAAGAAAAGAACUAUUAUUGGGAACUGUAUGCAAAAAGUAUUUUUUAAUAACAGUUUUUGGAAACCUUCCUAAAUAAACCGUAAGGUUCCAUUUGAUUUGGAUUUUUUUUUCAUUUUUUUUAGAAUAAUUUUUUUUCCUAAAAAAUGUAUUUGAUUAAUAAAGUUAAAACCAUUUUAAAAAAUAAAAUCUAUAAAAUAUUAUUUGAUGUUAAAUGAAAUAUAAUUAAAAUUUUAUAUCAUAUGCAUGUCAUGUGAUAAAUAAAGAAAAUACUUAUAGAGUAGUGUUAAGAUAAUAUUGAUUUCAAAUAUUAUAUAAUAUCAUAUUUUAUUCAUUUGAAUAUUUUUUAUAUUUGUAAUAUUUAUAUUUCUUUAUACCAUGCAUCUCAUAAGGUUAUUUACAUAAUUUAUUUCCUUCUUUGUUUUCAUCAUCAUCAUCAUCAUCAUGAUAAUUAUUAUUAUUAUUAUUAUUAUUAUUAUUAAGAGAGAGAACUUUGCACAAAUGUAUUUCUAGAAAUUUUCAAAUUUUCUUGUACCUUCUUAAACUUAAAAGAAUGAUUUCAAAGGGAAAGAAUAAAGACCAAUCCUAAUUGGUCCUUAGCUAAAUCAACCAAAAGUAUGUGAUUGUCAUCCUUGAAUCAAUAUUAACUUAAAAUAUCAAUGUGUUAUAGAAAUCCUCAAAUUUUCCUUAAGUUCAAGUACCUUCUUAAACUUAAACAAUGUUCUCAAAGCAAAUGAGUCAAGAUAAAGCCUAAGUGGCCCUUAGCUAAAUCAAUCAAUAGUAUGUAAUUGUCAUCCUUAAAUCAAGAUUUACUUAGAAGAUCGAUCAAUCGAUUAUAACUUAGAAAAAUAAUCAAUUAUAACUCAGAAAAUCUAUAUAUAUAUAAUAUCGAUGUGAAUAUAUAUGUGUAUGUACAUAUAUAUAUAUAUAUAUAUGUACUCACAUUUUUAUUAAUAUAAUUUUUUUUCUAUCAUUUUCAACGAAGGAUUGUAAUCACAUUUUUAUUAAUACAAUAGUUUAAAGAAGAUGACAAAGGAUUGUAGUCACAUCUACUCAUAUCUUUAUUAAUAUAAUUUUCUUUGUUAGUAUAAAUUUCUAUACUAUUUUCUCAUUUUUUUUGGUUCUUUAGAAUAAAAAAUUUGUGCAUGCAAGUUUCUGGUACACCUAUGGGAUUAUGUCUCUCAUCUCUUUUGACCGAAAUUCCUCCUUCCAUCCUAAGUCGAGAUAAUGUGUUAAAAAAAACUAAGUCAUACACAUACUUUUCAUCCAAAGUCAAGUUAAUUCUUUCAAGGAAAAACCUAGUCAUACACAUACAAAGGGAAUGGUAACAAUAGCAUCACCUCAUGACUAAAGAAUAUUACUAAUAGUCUAGUGACAUGUAGCAAGGCAAAGACAAUAACAAUUACUUUAACUUUAAACCAACAUAUGUUGAUGCACUCUCAUUCAUCAUUACUAGUUCAAGACUCUCUAGUUUUAAAGUUAAGUAUUUUUUUAUAUAAGGAAAUUAAUCAUGAUUAGUCAUUGAAACCUCUAAUCCUUAAACCAAAAAAGAAAAUAAAAAAGAACUAACAAUUGUAUGAUAGUUAAGUCAUUUCCACAUGGAACUUUAGAUUAGCGGCAAUUGAGGUAGUAAAUUUUGGGGUGUGAAUGUUGGUUAGAAGCUCAAAAAAGCAAUUUUAUACACAAAAGAGAUAGAGAGAAUUUAAAGAAAAUAAAAUUGAAGGAAAGCAAAUUUUAAGAGUUGAGAUUCGCUAAGAUCACCACUCUUAGGUACAGCUUACGAACAAGGCUUUGAACCUAUGCUUUUAGCUUUAGGAUCAGGCCAAGGGUUUAUACCCAAAAAUGUUCCUACUUGAAAUGAACGAGAACCACCCUAAUAAGGUUCAACUCCUUCUGAUUGCUCUCUUUUGGAUCCUUGCAACUAAAUGAUUUACAUCAGUUUCUUUUCAUGUCAACAAGCUUGUGCAUGGUUCAAAGAAUCAUUAAUAUAGUACUCAAGCAUGCUUCCAGGGUUACGUGAUUCAUGUCCCUCACAACCAAUGUUGUAUACACUUUUCUUCUCAUGGUUACUUCUUUUGGUCACCAUAAUCAUUAACAGAGAUCAAAUUCUUUAGAGCCAUGUGCAAAUAAACUAUUAAAUUGAGAUAUGGGAGACCUCAGCUCAUCUCACCUAUUGAAAUGUUAAAGAUUACCUAAACAUGUUGAGAACUAAGAGAAUAACCAAAAACAUGAAUUUGCAAGAUGAAACUGAAAACUAAAAAAUAAGAUUAAUUGAAAAGACUAGAAAAUUCAUUAACUUGGAAAUCAAGGAAAGGUUACAAAGUAAAAAAAUGAUUGCAACUAAGAACUAAAACUAAUGUUAAGUUACUCCUACUCCUAAGAGAAAGAAAGAUUAUCUAACUUUUUUUUAUCUCUAUCCUUUACUUCUACUUGUAUAUUCGUAGUCCUUCUUUUAAUCUCAAUCUCCCCACAUUCCAACUACUCCCAUGCCAAUUUGUCUAGAUUUGCCUUUUGCCCAUGUUGUGGAUUUAGUCUUAUGUCAGUGCAGUUAACCAAUCAUCAUUCUUGAUGUGUUAGCUUGAAGUUGGUGGUUGCAUCUUUUUUUCUAUGUAAUCAACAUGGGGUAUGUUUUGGUAGUACAACUGAAGAUUUUGAGGCAUGAAUGAUUGUACUACUUUGGUAAGUGCGCCAAUCAUUAGAAAAAUCGAGUGUGUAGCUCUUACAAAGUAAGGAACAAUAUGUAGGUUUCAAUGACAUCCAGGGGUGCACUUUAUUAUUGGCGAGAGAACUGCAUAUUUCAAGUCUUUAGGAGGUGGAUUGCUUUGGCAUUUUGCUAGCUUAGGUGAAGGGUGCACAACUUCUUAGCUUAGCACAAUUAAGAAGUGUGCAAUUUGUGUUGCCUAAGUGGGAUGAACAAUUUGGUCCAACACACAUGAAAGGUGGAUAAAAGAGCCCUUAAGCAUUAGUCUUUAGGGUGCACACAAGAGGUGUGUUAUGUGGUUGUUCACUAAAAAAGGAAUGCAAAAUUAAGUCUUAUGCACCUUAAAGUACACAAUCUAUGUUUACUUCCUACAUAUGCACUUUUGCCCCUAAGAGUUCCCAAAAAGGCUCUGUUGCAUAAAAAAAAAUACCUUAAAGCUCAUAAAAUACUCACAAAACGCAUAAAACACAAUUUUCUAAGGUACUAACAACAAGACUAAACAUUAGGUUAAUUCUAAGUACCUCGGACAUGCUAAAUAGACUCUUUAAAGCCAUCAAAGCAGUGAGUUUGAGUUCUCAUCAAUUACUUACAAAGGGGCAUGAUACAUAUUGGUCAAUCAUCACUCUAGUUUCCUUAAGGGCAAUGAGACAAGUGUUAGAUUCCUAGAAAAAUCUAUCCAAGCCUUGGAUCUCUCUAAAGGAUGCAUGCAUCUAUAGAUCCUAACCAUAUUAGAAACUAAUAUGUCUAUUAAAACUUAUUUUAAGGUGAGAAAUAACUAGAAAUCACACCUCAGAUUUAGAUAUUCCCAAAUCCAUUUUCCAAUCUAUGAAGAACAAUCUCGAAGGCCUAGAGCCACCUAAUAGUUCUUCCUUUGAUCAUGACAAUGAAGAAUGGUGGACUUCUCUCUAAAAAGAUAAAGGAUAGGUUUUUUUUUCUCUCUCUCUAGCAGACAUCAAUGAAUUAGAGUCUUUAAACCUAAACUCUAAGAGAGUUUAUAUAGACCUUCUUAUGGGCUUACAUGACUUAAGCUAGAUUAACUCUAGCUCCAAGGAGUAUAUGUUAAAUUUCCACUAAAUAAAAUGCUAUGACCAUAAUCUUUUAAAUCACAUGUCCUUUGUGUUAGCCCAAGGGUUCUCCUAUUCGGGUUUUGAUGAUAACAAACCAUGGUUAAGUGACUAAUUGGUUUAAAUGUUUAAGAAUCUCAGGUAUAAACUCAAAAAUUCAUCAAAUGACCAAAUAAAUACAAGAUCAAGACGCUUGGAAGACUUGUGAUCAGAGGAAACUAAUGUAAGAUGAAUGCAUUAGUGCACUUAGGAUUUUCAUAUGUUUCAUGCAUCUUAGAAAACUCGGUUUAUUCUUUAAAACUUCGAUUUCAUUAAAACCUGAGUUUCUAACUAAUGUACCUUAGGCAAAAUGUUUUAUAAUUGGCUUAAUAAUUUACCUAAAGACCUUGCCUAAGUGUUAAAAAAGAAAGGAAUAAAAAAAAUAGGUUUUCGGGGCCAAAAAGGCUCAACCGGUUAAGAAAAGUCAAAAACCUUCUCUCUCUCCCAGUAGCCUUCUCUUCCCGGUCGAGGUGUUUCUCUUACCAGUCGAGGUCCGGUUGAGGCAACAGUAACCUGUCAUGCAUUAAAUGCUCCAACGGCUAAUGAACCGGUCGACCCCUAGCUCGACCGGACGAGAUUACCUUUUGCUGUUUUUGACUCCCGAGCUUAAGAACCUAUAAAUUGAGAACUCCACUUUAUUUAUUGAAAAGAGAACACUUGCAUUCAAUAGCCUACCAACCUGUUCUUGAUCAAAAAGGUCUCAUUUCCUUUAUAGUGCAUUAAAUCACCACUUACAUAUCCUUUAGUGCACUCUUGUGUGUCACUAGCUUUGUCUUGUAUUUGAGCCAUCCUUAAGCUAGGUUGAGUGAUUAUAUCUUAUAACAAUCUAAGUGUUAAAGCCUUCAAGAGGGUUGAAUCUUGAAGAGGUUGUGUAAGAGCCCAUUGGAGCCGGAAUCCAAGUGUAAGAAGAUUGGAAGCUUGGUUGAAGCUUCAAGUUAGUGGAACCCUCACUCGGUUAGGAGGUUGAGGAGAGUGGACGUAUGCAAGGAAGUGUCGAACCACUAUAAACCCAAGUUUGAAUUCUCUAAACUCUAUCUCUUUACUUUGGUUAUAUUGUGUUUGAAUUUGUUGUGAUUGAAAAGAUUUUAAAAACCCAAUUCACCCCUCCUUUUGGGUGUUUUUCUUAACUAAGCAUAGCCUUUGUUUUCUCAAUUGGUAUCAGAGCUAGACCUUUUUUUUAAGACUUAAUCGUCUAAGAGGAAAUGGCUAUUCCAUCAAGCUCAUCCCAAGCUGAAAAUUUUUCAAGACAUAGAGCUUCAUUCUUUACGGGAACCGACUAUCCUUAUUGGAAAACUAGAAUGACUUGGUAUUUGCAAUCUACUGAUUUAGAUGUAUGGGAUGUCAUUGAAGAUGACCUAACUUUUCCCACUAAACUAGUUGAUGGAGUUUUGGUUCCAAAACCCAAGCAAGAAUGGAAUGAGCUUGAUAGAAGAAACUUUCAAUUAAAUGCUAAAGUCGUUUUUACUUUGCAAUGUGUUAUGGAUAGAAAUGAAUAUAAUAGAAUAUGUCAAUGCAAAUCGGCUAAAUAAAUUUGGAGGUUGCUUGAAAUAACUCAUGAAGGAACUAAUCAAGUGAAAGAGUCAAAAAUCAAUUUACUUGUUCAUAACUAUGAAUUGUUUUCAAUGAAAGAAACUGAGAUUAUUGUUGAGAUGAUUACUAGGUUCACUGACAUUGUCAAUGGUUUUGAAGCCUUGGGAAAAACCUACAAGGAAUCCGAGAAGGUAAUGAAGAUAUUGAGGUCUCUCCCAACAAAGUAGCAUACCAAGGUCACCGCAAUUCAAGAAGCAAAAGACUUGACUAAGCUAUCUAUGGAAGAGCUCAUAGGGUCAUUAAUGACAAAGAAGCUACAAGAGGGUGAAGACAAAAAGAAGAAGAGCAUAGCCCUCAAAGCUACAACCAAGGAAGAAGAAGAUGUUGAAGAAGAAAAGCCUAGUGAUGAAGAUGAUGAUUUAGCCCUCAUCACAAGAAAGCUCAACAAAUACAUGAGAGGUGAAAGUUUUAGAGGAAGGAAAUUCACCUCUAGAAGGGAUCCUUCUAAAAAGGAAUCUUCAUCCCAUGGUGACAAGGAGAAAUGGAAAGAGAAAAGAGAUUUGACAUGCUUCAAGUGCAAAAAACCGGGACACAUUAAAUAUGAUUGUCCUCUCUACAAAAGUGAAGCCAAGAGAAGAAUGAAGAAGGCAAUGAUGGCCACUUGGAGUGAAAGUGAAGAAUCCUCCAAAGAAGAAAAUGAGAAGGAAGUGGCAAACAUGUGCUUCAUGGCAAUAGAUGAUCUUGAUGAGGUAAACUCUAACUUUAGUGAUGAAGAUAUGCAUGAUGUUUUUGAAGAAUUAUAUGAGGAUUUUAAAAAACUUAGUUUGAAAAAUAAUUCUCUUAAAAAAAAAAAAUUCAAGAACUUGAAAAGGAACUUGAAGGAGUGAAAGAAAAAUUUUCAAUUGAUGAAUUAUCUAAAACUCAUCUUGAAAAAGAAAAUGAGAUUUUGAGGAGUGAAAAUGAUAUUUUGAAAAAGAAAAAUGAAUGGUUAACCUCCUCUCUUUCAAUUUUCUCUUGUGGACAAAAAUCUUUUGAAAUGAUCUUAGCUAGCCAAAAAUGUGUCUUUGACAAACAAGGGCUAGGAUUCAAAUCAUCAAAAAAUAAAAAAUAUUUUAAAAACUACUUUGUUAAAGAAUCCACAAGUGCAAGUCCUUCCACUACUUGCAACUUUUGUGGAAGAGGAGGGCACAUUAGUAGUACAUGUCCCUUAAGAAAUGGUUCUCAAAAGAAUUCAAAUGCUAAAGCUAAAAAGGUUUAGGUUAAGAAAUCCAAGGUCACUAACCCUCAAGGACCCAAAAAGAUAUGGGUACCUAAAUCAACUUAAAUUUUAUUUUGUAGGGAUCAAAGAAGGAUAAGUGGCUCUUGGAUAGUGGAUGCUCAAGACACAUGACUGAGGAUGAAUCCAAGUUUGCUUUCCUUACAAAGAGAAAGAGAGGAUACGUUACCUUUGGAGACAAUUCAAAAAGAAGGAUCAUUGGUCAAGGCAACAUUGGUAAUGGCACAUCCUCUCUUAUUGAAAGUGUUUUAUUAGUUGAUGGUUUAAAACAUAAUCUUUUGAGCAUAAGUCAACUUUGUAACAAAGGUUUUAAAGUGAUUUUUGAAGCAUCUCAUUGCAUCAUCAAAGAUAUUCAAAAUGAUAAAACCAUCUUCAUGGGCCAUAGAUAUGAUAAUGUUUGUGCAAUAAAUAUUUCAAAAUAUGAUGGCCAUGAUAGAUGCUUUUCAAGCAUGCAUGAUCAAAGUUGGUUGUGGCAUAGGAGGUUGGGACAUGCUAACAUGGACCUCAUUUCCCAACUCAACAAAGAUGAACUUGUUAGAGGCCUUCCCAAAAUAAAUUUUCUAAAAGACAAAGUUUGUGAAGCUUGUCAAAUGGGAAAGCAAAUCAAAAACUCUUUUAAAAACAAAAAUUUCAUUUCAACAACUAAGCCUCUUGAAUUGUUGCAUAUGGAUUUAUUUGGUCCCUCUAGGACACCAAGCCUUGGAGGAAAAUCCUAUGCUUUUGUUAUUGUGGAUGACUUCUCUAGAUACACUUGGGUCUUAUUUUUAAGUCAAAAGAAUGAAGCCUUUUAUGAGUUUUCAAAGUUUUGCAACAAGGUUCAAAAUGAAAAAGGUUUUACAAUUACUUGUAUAAGAAGUGAUCAUGGGAGAGAAUUUGAAAAUAUUGAUUUUGAAGACUAUUGCAAUGAGCAUGGUAUUAACCUCAACUUUUCGGCUCCUAGAACUCAACAAAAUGGGGUAGUUGAAAGGAAAAAUAGAACUCUUCAAGAAAUGGCUAGAACCAUGCUAAAUGAAAACAAUUUACCAAAAUACUUUUGGGCCGAAGCGGUUAACACUUCUUGUUAUGUUUUAAAUGGAAUUUUAUUAAGGCCUAUUCUUAAAAAAAACUCCCUAUGAGCUUUGGAAAAACAAGAAACCCAACAUUAGCUAUUUUAAAGUCUUUGGGUGCAAAUGCUUUAUAUUAAACACCAAAGACAAUCUUGAAAAAUUGAUGCAAAAUCGGAUGUUGGAUUUUUUCUUGGUUACUCAACUUCAAGUAAAGCCUUUAGAGUUUUUAACAAAAAAACCAUGGUAGUUGAGGAGUCCAUCCAUGUUAUUUUUUAUGAAUCUAACAAUUCUCUCUAAGAAAGAGAGAACUUUGAUGAUGAUUUAGGCUUGGAGACUUCCAUGGGAAAAUUACAAAUUGAAGAUAGAAGGCAACAAGAAGAAGUUGUAGAGGAUCCCAAGAAAUAAGAAUCACCUUUGGCACUACCUCCUCCUCAACAAGUGCAAGGUGAAUCAAGCCAAGACCUCCCUAAAGAUUGGAAGUUUGUCAUCAACCACCUACAAGAUCAAAUUAUAGGUAAUCCAUCUAGUGGGGUAAGAACUAGAUCAUCCCUUAGAAAUAUUUGCAAUAAUCUUGCUUUUAUCUCUCAAAUUGAACCUAAAAAUAUAAAAGAUGUUCUAGUUGAUGAAAAUUGGAUGAUUGUCAUGCAAGAAGAGUUAAACCAAUUUGAAAGAAGUGAAGUAUGGGAAUUAGUGCCAAGACCUCAAAAUCAAAGUGUUAUUGGAACUAGAUGGGUCUUUAGAAACAAAAUCGAUGAAAAUGGCAUAAUUAUAAGGAACAAAGCAAGAUUGGUAGCCCAAGGUUUUAAUCAAGAAGAAUGGAUAGAUUAUGAAGAAACCUUUGCUCCCGUAGCUAGAUUGGAAGCCAUUAGGAUGCUACUUGCCUUUGCAUGUUUUAAAGACUUUGUUUUAUAUCAAAUGAAUGUGAAAAGUGUCUUCUUAAAUGGCUUUAUAAAUGAAGAGGUAUAUGUUGAACAACCACCCAGUUUUCAAAGUUUUAACUUUCCUAAUCAUGUUUUUGGACUUAAAAAGACACUUUAUGGUUUGAAACAAGCACCUAGAGCAUGGUAUGAAAGGUUGAGUAAAUUUCUUUUGAAAAAGGGUUUUAAAAUGGGAAAAAUUGACACAACUCUUUUUAUAAAAACCAAAGAAAAUGACAUGCUCUUAGUACAAAUAUACGUUGAUGAUAUUAUUUUUGGAGCUACUAAUGUCUCUCUUUGUGAAGAAUUCUCUAAAUGCAUGCAUAGUGAGUUUGAAAUGAGCAUGAUGGGAGAACUUAACUUCUUCCUUGGACUUCAAAUCAAGCAACUAAAGGAAGGAACCUUCAUCAAUCAAGCAAAGUAUAUAAGAGAUCUCCUCAAAAGGUUCAAUAUGGAGGAAGCCAAAACAAUGAAGACUCCAAUGAGUUCAUCCAUCAAGCUUGACAUGGAUGAGAAAGGUAAGCCCGUCAACUCAACUAUGUAUAGAGGCAUGAUAGGUUCUUUACUAUAUUUGACCGCUAGUAGACCCGACAUCAUGUAUAGUGUCUGCUUGUGUGCUAGAUUUCAAUCUUGUCUUAAGGAAUCUCAUUUAAGUGCUAUAAAAUGAAUUCUUAGAUAUUUAAAAGGGACUAUGGACAUAGGCCUAUGGUAUCCUAAGGGUGAUAACUUUGAAUUAAUUGGAUACUCAGAUGCCGACUUUGCCGGUUGUAAAAUUGAGAGGAAAAGCACUAGUGGCACUUGUCAUUUCCUAGGACACUCACUUGUUUCAUUGCAUAGUAAGAAGCAAAAUUCGGUAGCUUUGUCUACAGCUGAAGCCGCAUACAUAGCAGCCGGUUUAUGUUGUGCACAAAUCCUUUGGAUGAAACAAACACUUAGUGAUUUCAAUUGGAUUUUUGAGCAUGUUCCUAGUGCCAUAAACAUUUCAAAAAAUCCGGGACAACACUCUAGGACUAAGCAUAUAGAGAUAAGACAUCAUUUUCUUAGAGAUUAUGCACAAAAGGGUGACAUUACACUUGAAUUUGUAAGCACAAAAUAUCAACUUGCCGAUAUUUUUACAAAACCCCUAAGUGAAGAGCAAUUUGUUGAUAUUAGAAGACAACUAGGGGUGAUUUCUUUAGGAUCAAAUGAUUGCUUGAUGAAUUCUUAUUGAUACUACACUUGAAUAUACCCUAUGAUUGCGUGAAAUUCAUAUCAUAUGCAUCAUAUAGAAAUAAUCAUAGGAAACUGUGGCAUUGGACAUAAAAAAUUGGGGAUUUCAACUGAAAAUGGCAGGAAGAGGAUCACGAGACAAGAAAAUGCAACAAAAUUUUGAAAAAUUGACUGUUGAGCAUAACCGUUGACCAGGCGGUCGACCGGUUCAUCGGGGCUGGGAAAUUAAAAAGCCCCCCUCCCCCCUCUUGCCACCCCUUCACAUCCCUGCUUCCAGAAGACCAUUUUGGCCAGAUUUCGGACCAAUUGCAGGUUAUGGACUUGAUUUUGGGAUGCCUUGAGGUUAGGGUUUUGAUUUGAAACCUAGGGUUUCAGCUUUUGGGAGUGUUUCUUCUCUGCACCGCGUGCCUCAGAGUUGGUUCAGUUUCAUCUCCGUGCGCUUAGGGCUUCGGGUUUGUGAUUGCUCCUUCUCGUUUCAUUUCAUUCUCUCUUUUUGGACUCCUCCUUCUCCUUUCCGUUCAUUGGAUGACACCAAGGCGAGAUACGGGCACCUCCAGGGCUCAGGGCAAGCGCCCUGCUGAGCCAUCUCAGCCCAAGCAGACGGAGGCUCGCCGAAAGGCGAGGUAUGACACGGUCCUCUUCAAUUCGAUUGAAGACUAUCAGCGCUACAAGAAAAAGUUCGCCUAGAGGAAAGUCAUCCCAAGGAGAAGUGUCAAUUUCUCCCAACUUCAGCACUUCAGGUUUGAGGGACUUUUCAGUCGGAUGGGAUGGCUGCCGGUUGUGACAAUUUCUGAGCCGAUCUUCCCGACUCUGGUGCGGGCUUUUUAUUCCCGGGCGACCUAUGGGCUUGGAGGACCCGUAUUGUCCACUGUGAGGGGAGUUGAGAUCAGAUUGAGUCCCAAUAGUAUUUUCCGCAUUCUCGACAUCCCUUCGGUUGGACUCCGAGUGUAUGAGGCCAAGGCUAGCCCACUAUGCCGGGAUUCUAACCUAAAGAGGCUAUUCAGAGGUUGUGCGGACUCACAGAUGCCUAGGGGAUGGGCAAACCAUCGGCACACGGCCUAACCAUGCCUAGCCGAGUCCUUCACCACAUGAUAUGCUCCAUGUUAUUGCCACGUGGAGGACAUCGAGACGAGGUCUCCUACCUUGAGGCUUUUAUUAUGGACUCGAUCCUGACCGGGAGACGGAUUCACGUGGGAUAUUUGAUUAUGAUGCAUAUGAUCUCCUGCGUUGAGAGCACGACACGAGUACUCCCCUACGGCCGCUUCCUUACCCGAGUAUUCAAGGAUGUCAGGGUCGACUUGAGUAGAGAGACGAAUUUCGAGGCCCCGACGAGCUAUGACACAUAUGAUGAGCAGUCUUUGGGGCACAUGAAGUUCGAGAAGGCACCCGAUAGCUCCUGGGUUAGGAAAGCUGAGCGACAGGCCCAAUGACAGGAUCAAAUGCAUCCCAGAGUAGAGGAGGAGGCCGAGAUCAGAGAGAUGGAGGAUGGGUUAGACCCUUAGAGGGACUUUGAGUAGAGAGAGCCCGAGCUUGACAUUCCCCCUCCAUCUCAGUUAGAGGGCAUUCAUGUUGAGGCUACCUUCUCAGAGCCUAUGAUGACUGAGCCGUCUUUCACAGCAGGACCAUCAUUUCAGCCAUCAUUUACCGAGCUACCAUCUCAGGCACCUCACGCUCCUGAUCAUGCGCCUUGGAUGGAUGUCUCUGCUUAGAUCAGCUCCCUUGGGACUCGUAUGAAGGAGCUUGCCUUAGUCCAUGACUGUCACUUCUACUCUAUAGAGAAGCACAUGGAUCAGUAUCAGACUAGAGUCACUUCUCGGUUUGAUCACUUCCAGCAGUGAUUUGAGCGCAUAGAGGAGCAUAUGGAUCAGGAGCAGGCUACAUUCAAGCAUCUCUAGCAGAGCAUUGAUCGUAUUGAGAGUCAUCAGGCGAGUCAGAAUGAGGAGAUGAUGACUUACCUCCACUCUGUGUUUCCUCCUCCACCCCCUCAGCCUUGAGACUAUCUAGACAUCCCCCUUCGUUUCUUUUUUAUGUUGCCAAAUGGGAAGAAAUUUAUAGAAUCUAGGAGACCCUCAUGCAUGCCAUUGUCAUCAUAGUCAUAUCUAUCUUGUUUGUACAUGUGAGGUUUCGUUUCCAUAUAUAUAUGAUAUGACAUUUUUAUGAUCCCUUGUUCAUUUUCGUGUUUUACAUUGCUUCCUAUUAAAAAUCGUUUGAUUGAUCCAUGAUUGGUUUGAAGAGGAGAUUUUUUUUCUCUCCUAGAUAACCAAGGUUUGUCAUCAUCAAAAAGGGGGAGAUUGUUAGCCCAAGGGUUCUCCUAAUCGGGUUUUGAUGAUAACAAACCAUGGUUAAGUGACUAAUUGGUUUAAAUGUUUAAGAAUUUCAGGUAUAAACUCGAAAAUUCAUCAAAGGACCAAAUGGAUACAAGAUCGAGACGCUUGGAAGACUUGUGAUCAGAGGAAACUAAUGUAAGAUGAAUGCAUGAGUGCACUUAGGAUUUUCAUACGUUUCAUGCAUCUUAGAAAACUCGGUUUAUUCUUUAAAACUUUGAUUUCAUUAAAACCCGAUUUUCUAACUAAUGUACCUUAGGCAAAAUGUUUUAUAAUUGGCUUAAUAAUUUACCUAAAGACCUUGCCUAAGUGUUAGAAAAGAAAGGAAUAAAAAAAAUAAGUUUUCGGGCCUAAAAGGGCUUAACCGGUCGAGACUAUGGCCAACCGGUUCAACUGGUUGAGGAACCGGUCGACCGGUUGUGGUCGUCCGGUCGAGGACCGGUCGAGGAAGGUCAAAAACCUUCUCUCUCUUCCAGUAGCCUUCUCUUCCCGAUCGAGGUGUUUCUCUUAUCGGUCGAGGUCCAGUUGAGGCAACGGUAACCUGUCAUGCAUUAAAUGCUCCAACGGCUAGUGAACUGGUCAACCCCUAGCUCGAUCGGACGAGGUUACCUUUUGCUGUUUUUGACUCCUGAGCUUAAGAACUUAUAAAUUGAGAGCUCCACUUCAUUUAUUAAAAAGAGAACACUUGCAUUCAAUAGCCUACCUACCUGUUCUUGAUCAAAAAGCUCUCAUUUCCUUUAUAGUGCAUUAAAUCACCACUUGCAUAUCCUUUAGUGCACUCUUGUGUGUCAUCCUAGCUUUGUCUUGUAUUUGAGUCAUCCUUAAGUGAGGUUGAGUGAUUAUAUCUUGUAACAAUCUGAGUGUUAAAGCCUUCAAGAGGGUUGAAUCUUGAAGAGGUUGUGUAAGAGCCCAUUGGAGCCGGAAUCCAAGUGUAAGAAGAUUGGAAGCUUGGUUGAAGCUUCAAGUUAGUGGAACCCUCACUCGGUUAAGAGGUUGAGGAGAGUGGACGUAGGUAAGGAAGUGUCGAACCACUAUAAACCCGAGUUUGAAUUCUCUAAACUCUAUCUCUUUACUUUGGUUAUAUUGUGUUUGAAUUUGUUGUGAUUGAAAAGAUUUUAAAAACUCAAUUCACCCCCCCCCCCCUUUUGGGUGUUUUUCUUAACUAAGCAUAGCCUUUGUUUUCUCACUUUGGAUUAUGCAAGGACAUAUGAUUCGUCCCUAGCAGCGGCAGUGGCAACGGCACCAUUUGAUUCGAGGUUCGAUCCCCGGCAACGACGCCAUUUGAUUCAUGCCCAAUUGGUGUCUCAGCUGAUUCGUGUCCAGCUGGUGCUCCUUGAUUGAGGGAGUAAUCAAAAAAAUUUAUAACCUAUUACACCAUAUACUAGGGUAGCAAAGACAAAGCUACUAUAGCAUAGUGGCUCUAGGAUCGUUCACUGGGAUGGGUUUUCACUUCACAAAUGAUAUUAAUUCAAAGUUGAAUUGGUGUCUUUUCAUUUCAAGGUUAGCUUUAAAAGAAAACAUAAAGAUGUUUGAAUGAAAAAAGUUUGGUUUUAAACUAACCAAAAAUAGUAACUGAUUUUACUUACAAAGAAAAAUGUUUCUUGGAGUUCAGAUCACUAGGCUCAGGUUCCUCAUACAAAAAGGAGAGUUCCGGUCACUUGUUUCUUUUCCUCGCAUUAGAGAAUUAACAUAUAGUUCCUUCUCCAACCGGUGUUGUACAGAUGCUUCCCAUUAAUGGGUUCAAACACUAAAUCCCUCUCACUGAUGCACCUUGCAAUGACUCAUACCUCUCACCUAGCACUUGCCAUUCAAGGUGAUCUUUAACCUUGGAUUACCCGUUAAAAGCUCGCAAGAGAUAACUAAUGGAUGUCUCCUUGGAGUCCAAAAGCUUACCAAGUGUUGGCUAUUCUAGAAAAUCCUACCUUCAAGUCACCUCCCAAAGGCUCGCAAGAGAUAAACUAGUGAAUCUCCAUGGACGGAGAUCACUUGCCUUACCAAGUGUUGGCCCAGGUGAUUUAAAGGCGUUUUAAGUUAACUAAAAAGAUAAAAACCAUUAACGGGUCACACUUUCUCUUCAUUAAAAACUAAAACAACAAAACAUCCAAUUUAUGCAUGUGGAAACUUACCCGGCUUUCCUCACUCCAAGAGACAAAGAGCCUAGCCUCUCAUCCUCUGAGGAAAAAUCCUUAGAGAAUGUUUGGCUAGCAAGAAAACUAACGAGAAAACAAGAAUAUAUAAGAAAAACAGAGCAAGUGCUCUGUUCGUUGAUUCUAUAUAUGAUAUAUCUAUCUAUUUCUAUCUAUCUAUUACAGUGGAUGCAAGGGAAUAUAUAUAGAGACGUUUUUCCAACCUUCCUAACUAAGAAAUCUUAUGGUUGGUGGAUUACAAGGAGAAGAAUGGAAAUUUAUACAAAAAUAUCUGAAGAAAAGAUCUAAAAGAGUCGGUGCACAAAUAUCGAGAAGCAUUAAGGACCAUUUCGCAGGUGAAAACGAGGUCUGCGAGAUUUCGCAGAUGCACACAAAGGGCUGCGAAAUCACUUCGCAGCAAAAGGUUAUUCUCGCAGGGCUACGAAGUUGGCUUUCAUCUUGAGAUUCUCAGCUUCCAACUUGUUGCAUAUAUCGGGCAACUUCAGGAGGAAAUCCACCGCACUGUACAAAAAGGCUGCGAAAUCAUUUCGCAACAAAAAGGUGAUUUCGCAGCGCUGUACAAAACUCUUCCUUCAGCUUGGAGUGAUUGGCUUGCAAUGGCUGUAACUCCUUCAUUUCAACUCCGAAUUGCACACCGUUUAAAGCAUUGGAUUAUUGACUUCCUGAGCUUUGAAAUGGUAUAUAGAAUGUAGAAAAUGGACUUCAGGAAGUGCUCCAAAAGUGGAUGACAUGACUGUCAUCAAGAAUGCUUCAUGGCAGAUUUCUCUUUGCUUCCCCUCCUUGCAUUCCAGAUUUACUUAUGGCAAAGGACUUCAAAGCUUUAGUUCUUCAUGUUUCUGAGCUUCCCAUUGCUUUGCCAUGGAUUCCAAAUAACUCUCCUCAAUCUCGGAUUGCUUUGGUGAUCAAAAAGCUAUCAAAACACCAAAACUUAACACAAUUUGAUUAGAAUUGAUUGCAAGGGUCCUUAACAUGUUAAUUGGGUUAAAAGGCAAUAACUACUACUCAAAAGUGUUUAAAAGAGUUAAUUACAAGCUAUCAAAUAGCACUUUUUGAGUAGUAAUCAACAUACUAUCUCAAUCCAUGAUAUAUCAUGGUGCCUCUAUUGAGAAUACUUAUUUCCAUCGACCUUCAUCAGUAGUGACCCAAUACCAUAGGGAUAUAUGACUACUUUAAGGUCUCACCCAUAGGUCAAAGUCUCCUGUUAACUUUGGCACAAGUUCAAUAUCCUCUCAAGGUUGAGAGUUCAUGUAUUAUAGUAGCUUAGUAAAUCAUGACAAUUGAUAGUCUUACGUCAUGAUUCACCGUAGGUCCUGUCUAGUGUGACACAAUGGCUAAGACAAGUCAUGAUCCCUCCAAUUGGGAGGUAAAGUAAUAUAAUCUCAAAUGGAUUGCUCAAAUCCAUGAACCAACUAUGGACAACUCAUCACUCUACAAGGAACCCAUGACUUAGGUCUUCUAUGUAAUUCCUAAUGCACCUAAGUCCUGUAUAAUGCAACUGAUAUGGGGCAUGUAUGCUCAAAUAGUCCAAUCAAUGCAUAAUGGGAUAAUAAAAUAAAAAACUAGAAGCAUAAAUAAAUAAAUUUAUAAAUGAAUCUUUAUCUAUUACAUCAUGUCAUGAUUUCUAGGGCUCAAUACCAAUAGUUGUAACCACUCGAUAGCCUUACAUCAUGACUCAACAUAGGUUAUGUCAAAUGUGUAACCGUACACACUAGUGCACUCACCAUGAGAGCCUCAUCCCUAUGGCCAAGACAAGUUAUCCCUCAAAUUAGGAGGUAGUCCAUUAUAGUCUCUAUCAGAUUGGCCAAACCAAUGAACCGACUAUGAACUCUUUUUCAUUUUGCAAGGAACCCAUGACUUAUAUCAUAUGUGCAACUCUUGAUGCAUCCAAGUCAUGUAUAAUAUAAAUUAUAUGAGUCUAAAUGCUCAAAUUAAUAUCAAUGCAUACAAUAAAUAGAUAAAGUGGAAGCUCAAGUCUAACUUUGUUACAUCAUGUCUUACUUUUUAAGGCUCUGUCCCAACAUAUAUGACAAGUCAGGUCUAAUGUGGGUUAGAUAGAUCAAUUUUCCCACUAUUCUUUGUUAUCUCUCUUUGUUAAUUGGAAUUUGAUGAGAAUAGAUGGACAUGUCAUGAUUUAUCUCAUUGGAAAUAUCUACAGGAUUGCAAUCGAAGUUACCACUUUCAACAAAGAGAUCUAAUGUAUACUUUUUUUAUGAAAAGAAAAGUCCUUGCUUGGACUCAAUGCGCAAGAAGUAUUUUAGAGCACCCAAUUCUUUCAUUUCAAAUUCCUUACCCAGAUAGCUCUAAAGUUUCACUAUUUUUCUAGAGUUACUACUUGCAACAACCAUGUGAUCAACAUAAAUAAUAAGCAUUAUAAUGUCAUCACCAUUUCUCUUAUUAUUUAGAGUGUGAUCUACCAUAGCUUGUUUAAAACCAUACUCUUUUUCAUCGAGUACCUCAACUUUCCAAACCAUACCCUUAGUGGUUGCUUUAACCCAUAUAAAGCCUUUUUUAGUUUGCAUACCUUGCCUCCUUUUGGUGUAAACCUUGGAGGGGGAUCCAUGUAUGCCUUUAUCUAACAUAGCACCAUGGAGAAAGGCAUUUUUCACAUCAAACUGUGGUGAUGUCCAAUUCAAAUUGACCAUAAAAGAGAAUAUGACUCUAACAGUGUUCAUCUUAGUCACAGGGGCAAAGUCUCUUGAUAAUUAAUUCCAUAAGUUUGAGUAUGUCCCUUUGCAACCAAUCAAGCUUUGUACCUAUCAAUUGUCCCAUCUAACUUGUACUUUACUGAAAAUAGUCAUUUAAUUCCCACUAUCUUUUUUUCCUAAGGGAGCUCAACCAUCUCCCAAGUAGAAUUCUUUUAGAAAGACUUCAUUUCUUCUACCAUAGCAAACUUCUAUAUAGGAUCUUCAAAGACCCCCUAAAAAUGACUAGAAAUAAACACAAAGGACAACUAAAGAGCAAAAGCAAGGUGAGUCUUAGAUAGAUGACAAUAAGAGACGAAAUUAAAAUAAGAUAGACAACAUUAAAGGAUGAUUUUAAGAAACCCAACCUAUCAAGUUCUUUACCAUCAUGAGAGGAUAUCUCAUACCUUGAUUUCCAACUCGUGGAUUCAAGGUAGAAGUUUUAGAAGUUACAGGUGAAGGAACAUGUACCUUAGGAUUAGUCUUGAUGGAAGAGUCAUUUAAUGAUAUGGUAGUAUCAUUAAUAGGAGUAUUGGAACCUUGAAAAGGUACAGCAUUAGCAUCUUUGUUCUUCCUUGUAUAACCUUAUUAGAAUAAUUUGUCUGGUCUUUCACACUUUCUUUCCUCAUAUUCAAACUCAGUUGUCAUAUGGUUGGAAGCAUCUAAAGACUCUCCCUUAUGCAAAUCAGUUGAAUCCUUCCCCUGACCUAAAAUCCAUAAUCUCUUCUCUUCUAACCAUAACAUUUCCUCUUCCUUACUAUUAAUCUCCCUUUAAAAAGGAACUAGAAACACAUUCCCACAAAAAUAAUACUCCAGUUUGCAGAAGUUGACAUCCGUGGAGACAUAGUAUUUUCUUGUAAGAGGAUGAAAGCAUUUAUAACCCUUUUAAGAAUUAGAGUAACCAAGAAAGACACAUUUAAGAGCACGAGGAUCAAGCUUAUCCCUUUUGAUGAGAGUGUAUAUAAGCAUAACAUAAAUAACCAUAAACUUUAAGACAAAGAUUCAAAGCAGAAGAAAUAGGGUGAAAUCGUGAUAACAUUCACAAAGGACUUUGAUAAUCAAUGACAUGAGCAGGCAUUUGAUUGAGGAGAAAUACAACACUCUUGAUAACCUUAGCCUAGAAACGUUUUGGGACACGCAUAGUAAAGCAUAAAGCUUAGGCCACCUCUAGAAUGUGUUGAUGUUUACGCUCUACUAUGUUGUUCUAUUAUGGUGUGUAUGUACACAUUGUCUAGUGGAGAUUCCAUUUUCUUUGAAUAAAUCAACAAGGGAUUGAAUCAAAAACUCACAACCAUUGUUAGAGUGAAAGACUGAGUAAGACCUAAGUAUUAAAUUGUCUAGCAAACAUUUUGGAAAAUUGAGGAAUAAUAUGUAGAACAUCAUUCUUAGACUUAAGCAAAUAUACCCAGCUCAAUCUAGUAGAAUCAUCAAUAAAAGAUACAAAGUAUAUAUGACUAGAAACAGAAGAAGUAGAAAAUUACCUUACACAUUUGUAAAAACACGGUAAAAGGAAUUGGACUUUUAUUGAGACUUAUUUUGAAAGGUACACAAUGAUUUUCAGCAUAAAUGCAUUGUUCACACCUUAAACUAGAAACUAAAAUAUUUCAAAACAACUAAGGAAAUAAACAUUCCAAAUAAGAAAAAGAUGGGUGGUCUAAUCAACAAUGCCAUAAAAAAUAAAAAAUAAAAUUAAAAAAAAAAUCUUUUCUCUAUCAAACAUCUCUUUUGGUACUUGAAAAACAUGAUUAGAUUCAAAUUUUAUCUUGCCCCCUCUAAGUAGUAAAGACUUUCCCAUUCCUUACCAAUCCCAAUCGUUAUCUUCGUAAGAUUGUCCUAAAACACACAAUGAGUAGAAUGAAAGGUUACAAAAUAAUUAAAAUGUUUGGAAAUCUUGCCAAUGGAAAGAAGACUAUUAGAGAGACUAGACGCAAGUAAGAUAGAGGACAUGGAGAGUGUGAGAGAAAGUGAGACAUUCCUGGCUCCUGAAAUUAGCAUAGGAGUUCCAUUAGCAACCUGAACAAACUUAACAAGUGAGAGCAUUAAAGAGUCAAGAAAAGAAGAAUUACUAGUCAUAUGAUCAAUGGCCCUUGAAUCAAUAUCCAAGUGUUAAAGGCAAUAGAAAUAAAGGUCAAACCAAAAUUACCUUCUUGAGAAGAUAAUCGAGAAACCUCAGAAGCAAAAGUUGGAGGAGUAGCUUCGAUAAGGGAAACCUGAGUAGAUUUCUUGUUCUUCUUUUAAGUUUUCUUAAGCUUGUAAUACUUUGGAUAAUUAUGCUUCUUCUAAAAACAUCUACCAAUGUUUAGUGUUAUUUACAAUGAGUUUAGAAGCAAGAAGAAGAGUCGGUAGAAGGAGUAAAACAUAUUGGUCAUGUGUUAUUCUUAUGGACAACCAUUGUAGAAACCUUAGAGUGAUCUUAUGUUCCCAUGGUGACCUACCUCUACACUUCACGAUAGACUAGUGAAUAGGCUUCCUCUAGACUUAGUAAAGGAGAGUUGACUGAAACAUAACCGCUAACUUGAUUCAAAUUGUGAUCAAGACCUGUAAGAAAUAUAUAAACCCGAUCCUCAGCAAUGUGCUUCUUUUGUUUCUCAAUAUUAGUCACACACAUCAUAUCAUUGGGCCUUCGAUAAUCAAGUUCCAUGAAUAUUGAGUUUAACUCAUUGUAGUAUUCUACAAAGGGGCGACCACCUUGGUGUGAUUGAAAAUAUUUUUUCAUCAGUUCAUAUACUUGAGAAGAAUUCAAAGACAUCAAGAUAACUUCUCUUGACUAUGUCCCAAACCCCCUUAGCCAUUCCAAAUUGCACAAAGUGUGAUAUCAACUUGUUAGUCAUGGAAUUGAUGAGCCAAGACUUAACUUGAUCAUUUUUGGCCUCCCAUUCAUCAUAGUUUGGGUCAUCCUCUACAAGUGCAAUCUUCCUUUCUAUGAUAUAACCCUUCUUCUUUCUACCAAUAAUAUGUAUCUCUAAAAUUUGAGACCAAACAAAAUAAUUAAAACCAUCCAACUUAAUAGAAAUUAUUGGAGAGGUAGUCUCAUGAAUGUUCACCAUGGAUGACCUUUUGUUGUAAAAAACACUCAAAUUUGUUUUGCAAACAUGCAUGAUAUGGUAACGAAGAGGGUGAAAAAAAUUAUGGAAGAAGAGUCAGCUAGGCAAUAGCGGAAAUUCCCUACUCCAACUCUGAUACCAACUUGAUAAAUUAUUGAAUACUUUUUCAAUAUAUCUCAAGGGUAUUUAUACAAGAUGCACAAGAUUAUUUUAGGAUUGCCAACUAUGCAUAAUAAUAAACAACUAUACAAAAAAGAUACAAUUGUAUGAAUCAAAAUUGUGUAAUAUACAUUAACUCAUAGUUAUAUAAUAUACGCUAACUCACAGCUAUAUAUGCUAACUCAAUCUCACCACUUUUUUUUCUAAUAUUUGUAAGUUAAUAAUAAGAAAAAAGAUUAUUCAAAAGGUAAAGUCAUCCUUUCAUAAGUAGAGCCCUCCAUUGACAUUUUGGAUAUUUUCCCUUUCUUUUUCAUUUCUUUCUUUCAAAAACUACUACUUUUCCUAAUCCAUGUCCUCUCCAAGCCAUUGUCCCCGUUGACAUUGUCUCACCAAUCGCCACUAAAAAUCACUAUUUUUACCUUACAUUCUUUCUGGUCUCUGCAUAUGUAAUGGCCCGCACCCAACCAUGUAGAUAUUGACCGCUUUUUGCCCAAGGGAGCCCUCACUGCUUUAAAAGGCGUCUACUUGGUUAAGAGGAGUCUCUACAUAUAUAGCGUCAGGAACAUUCUCCCCUAUCCAAUGUGGGACAUCACAAACACCUCCUCAUGCAAACACAACAUCCUCAUUGUGUCCCAUGGGAUUGUGGGACCAAACAGACAAACACCCCUUACGGGGUCAAACAAACCCACACACCGAGGUCGGGGAUCGGCUCUGAUACCAUUUGUAAUGGCCCGCACCCAAUCAUGUAGAUAUUGUCCACUUUUUGCCCAAGGGGGCCCUCACGGCUUUAAAACGCGUCUACUUGGUUAAGAGGAGUCCCUACAUAUAUAGCACCAGGAACAUUCUCCCCUAUCCGAUGUGGGACAUCACAGCAUAACCCUCUUAUCUUCUACACAUAACCCCGUCAAAACCCCAUUUGUUUUUCUCUAAUAUCCUAAGUGCACCUACACAAUGCUUAGGUAUAAUUAUAAUCUAAAAUUUAAAACAAACCUUGAAAGGAUUGGCCAACGAAAGGAGUAAAAAUUGUAUUUUGAAGAUGGAAAGGGAAGUCACUCUCACUAUUUGCCUUUUCUAGUUUCCUUCUCUUUUCCUUCCAUUAAAGCUAAAAAGAAGGAAGUUGGACCAACACCACCCUCCUUUACAUAUCAAUUCAUCCAUUUUACCAUUCUAUUAAUCAGAUAAUAAGUUAGUAGUUCUAGCAUAGUGUCACAUUGUUCUUAAAUGACCCCUUACGUGAGUAGAUAUAGUUCAAUAGAACUUUCUAGUCAUAAAGGUAAACCUUCAAUAGUUUAGUGAGGCUCCUCUAAAGGUAGGUGAAAGUGUUAUGAACCCUCAUUUGGCCAGGCGCUAAGCACUAGGACCAAUGAAUCCUAGUAAAGUGGUCUUAUAUGAUAAAAGCUCAACUUAUUGCUCCUUAUUCAUCUCUAACUUUUGCAACUUUAUAUGUCUUGAGUUAUUCAAGUACUGUAUAGGUUGAUUAAGAAACAUUUAAUGUCAGCUCUCACCAAAAUGGUAAACACAACAAGUUAAUUCAUGAUAUGAAAAUAUCGGUUUUUACAAAUAUACCAAUUGAAGGAUUUUACAAAUAUAUUGAAAAAUAUCAACAAAAAUUUUGACAAAAAAUAUCGAUAUAACAAAAAUUGAUCAAAACUCGUAAAAACAUUUAGAAAAACUUCAAAAUGAUAAAGAAACAAUAAUACAUAUAUUGAAAUCGCUUUGUUGAAUAAAUUAAUACAUGUAUAAUAUAAGUUGUGAUAUUCAGCAACAAUAUCAUGUGUAUUGAUAAGAAAUAUGAAUUUUCUAAAUGUACAUUUAAUAUUAAUUUACAUUAAGUAUUUAAUUUAAUUAAAUGUCAUGUCAAUAAUUUAUAAUAAUGGUUUCUUUUAGUACUAAAAUGAAUAUCAAUGUAAUUCCACAACACUAUUGAAUGAAGGAAUCUUAUCUCGGUGAGACAAUAAUACAUAUAUUAAAAUUAUUUUAUUAAAGAAAUUAAUAUAUGAAUAUUUAUAUGUGUGAUUUAAUACUAAAAUGAUUAUAUAUCUACUUUACAUAUAUAUAUAUGUGUGAUUAUUUUUCUAAUUAAAAAUAUUUAUAAUUUUAUUUACAUAUUUAUAUAUUUUUGGCAUUCAACUCAUGAUUUUUGGAUUUUCAAUUGUAAAUUAAAUGGAAUUUCAAAAUAAGAUAAUUAAAUUAAUUUGUUUAUUAAAAUUUUAUUUUUCAUAAAUGCAUACAAAAUUUACGUGUCGAUAUACUAUAUUAUAUAAUAUGUAGGGUAGGAAUUUAAACAUGGGCAUGGUUACCCAAGUGAAUGGAAGCUAACUUUUCACCGAGAAGAACAAGGUUGAAUCGAAAAAAAACGAUAAAUCAGGAAAAAAAAUCCAAAAAUGAUUGGAAAUUUCAACCAUUCGAUACAUCCCAUAAUAUUUUCUGCAGGGGUCCACCAAAACCUGAAAUAUCGAUAAUAUUUUGCCAAGUUUUGAUGGCAUUUUGUCAUUGAUCACAGACGAAAAUUUUCUAUGUGUCUACCAUUUCAAUCUAUCUUUCUUUUAUUUUAUAUUUUAUCUCUAUUACUUUUUUUAAAAUAUCAUAAACAUAAUCCUUAUAUUUAUUUUUAUUUUUAUUUUUAUUUUUGAUUUCUCAAUUACUUAUGUGAAAUUCAUAUUUAUUAUAACUUUCUCCAAAAGGUGUUGAUUUUUUUAAUAUUUGGUAAUUGACACUUUUUUUUAUUGGUCAGGACAAAGGAGUUUUUUAUUUGACUAAUGCUAAAAGUAAAAACUAAAAAAUAAAAAUAAAAUUUAAGAGUGUGUUUGCCCAUAUUUUCUAAAACUUAUUUUUAAGUUAAAAAACUAAACGGAUCUAUAUUUUUCUUUUAUUUUAAAAAAAUUAAUGAAAAAACUUCCAUUUGAUUCUCAAAAAAUUAUUUUUUAUUUCACUUUAUUUUUAAAAAACAAUAAACAGUGUUAAAAAAAUUUCAAAACAAUUUUUUUGUUUUUAUCAAUAAAUCACAGGGUCCAACAGGCCGGGCAUACACUUGAGCAUGGGGGACAAUUUUUAUUGCCACAGUAAGUCAAACCCUACCAAAACUCUUAAACAAACUUCUAGAUCUUUAAUUUCUUACUAAAAUUAUUAAUUUUUAUCUAGAAAAUAGAAUAUUUGAGUUACACAAAUUUUGCAUACUCUUGUCAAUUUUUCUUUAUAUAUAAUUUUUCUCUUUUUUUUUUUUCAAAUUAUUGAAUUUAUUACAUCUCAAAUUUUGUAACUGUUCUUACUAAGACUUCAACCAUAUUAUUUCCAUGUUUUUGUCUAUAACUAAAAUUUGUGGGGAUUAAUUGAUUGAAACUAAGACCUCAGUUUGGGAGGGUUUCAUAGAUUUAAAAGGUAAUAUUGGUCUUAUAAAAGUUUCUUUAUCAAAAUAAAAUUUCUAUUUGAAAUAUCAUUUUCCCAGACUUUCAUAUUAAAAUCUUUUUUACAAUCAUAAACUCUUCGAACAAAAUUAACCAAACACAUGUAAAAACUCUUAAUAAACCUAAAAAAUAGCUUUUGACUUCUUAAAAUACUAACUUAUAUCAUCUACAAAAAGUGCUAUCAACAAAAGAGCUUAUGAUUAACACUCAUAUUUAUCAUUUGGAUAUGCAUAUUUUACCAUGGGCUUAAGCUUAAUCAUGUUUGUAAGAGCAUAUAGAUUUCACUUGCUCUAGCUAAUUUUCCACCCAUUCCAACUGGAAAAAGGUCAACUUUAUGUGAACUUAAAAGGUGUUGAUCUCACUGUACAAAAGGAACUUGAAUUUCAGUACUGAGACUAGAUGGCACUCUCCAGCUUGGGUAAGACCCACCUAUGGUUGCUCUACUCUAGGGGCCAUUGUGCUCACCUGAUCAAUCAAAGAUCAUCAAACAAAUACAUUUAUCCUUGUCACGCAUUUUAACUUCGCCUUGAAUAUUUAAGACCCCGGCUGAAUAUCAAAACAGAGUUUCAGAUUUGGAGCUUCUAGACAUGGAAGGAACAAGGGUGAAGACCUUAAGCCACACUGGCAAGACAAAACAGGGGGAGAAAAAGUGGAGUUGUUCAUAGAACGUAUAAUUACAAUUCCAAAAACAGAGAGUUGAUAGCAUAUCUGGAUGCCCCUUGAAAUUGAAUUUUGCUAUCAACUGGUGGCAGUUCAUAAAAAGAGGAGAGGACUGAAAGGAAAUCCAAGUAAUGUACAUUUCAGACAUGACUCCGUUCGAUGCAUAAAACAGCAUUACUAUUCAAUAAUUGAAGCAAAAUGUUAACAAAGAAGAGAGAAGAAAGACUUCCUCAAAGAAAUUUCUUUUUAAAAAGAAAAAAUAUUUCACUAUUAAUUCUUCUACAGCAUUUACCUCAAGCAGAACCUUACCCCAAUAAGUUAGAUCUACAUCAACAGAUUUCAAUCCUUGAGUAAAUUACAUAUCCUGAAAAUCUGCACAAGAAAUAUCCAGACACCCAUGAAUAAGAAAAAAUAAAUAAAAAAGAGGAAAGAAAGAAAAUGCAAAAAAAAAACAAAGUCAAAGGUGGUUUUAGGAAAUUUGGACUGCUAAUAACCCGGCCAGGAAGAGUAUGUUGGUUCAACUGCUGACACAAACUGGAUGACUUCACAAAACCAUUCACAUGUUUGAUAAACCUUUUUAAGCCAUCAUUUCGAAUGGGAGCAGUGUAUACUUCCCCUAAAUUUACGAACCACCCAAUUUGGUGUUGAAUCAACAUGGUGAGGAGUUCAAUUAAUGGAGAAACUAGAUGGGUUUGUCCAGGUUUAAAUAAUCGUUUGUAAGAAACAUUGCAGCCAGUCAGGCAAAAGCAUACCUAAAUUUAGAGUGCCAGUAAGCCAAGCAUGUAAAAGAACUUGUGCUCUGGCAGCCGUUUGAUCAUCUUUGGGGUUGAUCUGAACCUGAAGGUCCAACUGAAGGUGUAGCUGGCACACUACUAGCUGAUCCAUUCUCAACAGGUGGUGGCACACCCCAUUUGCCUUCGGAUUCAAGGGGCUCAAAAACACACACUCCACCAUCAGAUAAUCCCAAUGCAAACUGAUUUGGCUCUUGUGGAUGUGCCGCAAUCACAAGGGGGUGUACAUUAGAAUUGCUGCAGACAGAAAUUUUUUAGUGGGAAUCAACAACAGAAAUCACACAUGCUGGAGGUAGAGAGCUUGAUUCUCUCAUAACAAAAUGGACUACAUAAUUGCAGGGACAGGAUAUUAACAAUAAUUGCACAUUCUUAUAUGUAGAAUUGACCUAUUAUUUGAUAUCCCAUAAUCAAAGAUCUCAGACUGAAGCAAUAUAGUUUAAGAACAAGAACAAGAAGCAGCAAGUUCAAUAAAUUUGGAGUCCAUAAUCCAGGAGCCACCAACAAUUAGUGGAUGGUGUCUCACAUUGGCAGAGAAAACUCAUUAGCGACUCGCAGGAUAUAUAUUUUAUUUGAACAUAUUAUACGGUAAAGAAUUUAUCAUUUUGGUGCACAUUCAAGAUUCAAAACGAAAAAUAGAAACAAAAAUCUCUAUCAUCAGUGCUAAAUGCAAGCUCAUAAGAGUGUUAUAGAGGAAUAUCAUAUGUCACAAGAUAAGCUUCACACAAGUGCUUCUCAACCAGGGAAGAACAUGAAAUAAAGACAUUUGUGAAAAGAAAAACAAAAAAAAAAGCACUAGUUUGAAUUUAUUUUAAAAUUUAGUUUCACUUCCUUGUCACAUGUUUAUAUAUGUAUAUGCUAGGGCUGUGUUAAUGUGACUUAUAAUAUACACCAACUUCUAGAUGGAUGCAGACAUGUACCAGCAGUAAAAGUAGCAGCAGCAAUCAACAAAGAGCUUCCCUAUACAAAAUGGAGCACCUAGGCAAGAUUCAUAUAAAUGCUUUACAGUUUUACUUGUAAUUACCAUGUUUUAAAUGGAUGCAUGCUUCAUUGGAAUUCAAUUGUCAUCUUGUCCAUGGGAUGUGGGUGUUUCUAUGUUGUACCAACAUAAUUAUAAUUGAAACAAACCAACUUAAAAGCAUUGUAUCAAGAUAAAGGAGAUUUUUCAAAAUAAAUCCCACCUGGCCCACAGAGCAAAGUAAAUACCUGACACUGGCAGGAAGGUAAGCAGUAGGAUUAAUACGACAUCGUAGCCUGAGAUUUGCAGCACUGAAUACACAGACAGUUGCAUCUAAGAAACUGGCAUAUACUAGGAGGCUAUCACAUGAGAAGGUUGCAUGGGAUAUUGGAGCAGCAGCUUCACGUUGAACCCACUGAAAAAUAAGAAGAAAAAAAUAUCAUAAGAAACUGAAAGCAAGAAGCAGAGGAGUGAAUGUGAUUAGAGAAAAAGAGUACCUGCUUUACACAAUCUAGUUUUGUUGCUUCGUAAAUGGCAAGCUGAGUCUCAUGAACAACCAGGAAAUGUGUCUGGUCCUGAUGAAACUGAACACGGGUAUCUGAUUGUCCUGUUGAUGUCCUUCCAGCUGGAACCUGUAAGAAUCUCGACUUCUGCUUUUCCCAUCCAUCAGAGCUCCACACACAAAGCUGGACAUAGAAGAUGUAACAUGAUAAGACAAUAUCAUCAAAGUUCUAUUUGGCACAAUAAGGAACCAAAACAGAGAACGACUUCAAUUAAUAGUGUCAAAUUCAGGAACAAUUUGGUGUGAAGAAUUGCUCAAAUUUCAAAGGAUUGGAACCUUUUGUGAAUAAGUUCAUAAAAAUCCAAGAGGUGGAGAAAAGCAAUUUGGGUGGGACAAAAAAGAAGCCCAGAUUACCAUUUUGGAGACAGUGAAAAUAUUAAGGAUUUUGCAAUUUUUUAUGGAUUCAAGAACUAUAUUAAAUAAGCCUAAUUGUGCAUACAAAAAAAUCAAUUGACAUUUUGAUUCUUUGACCCAAAAAGAAAACAAGAGAAGAGAAAAAGAUGGAAUCUGCAAACAGGGAAAUCAGUAAAACAUUUUGACUGACAAAAAAAAAGGGUGGAAUCUGACAAAACAUCAGAAUAGAAAAAUUAAAAAACCUGAGCAUCUGCUCCAGACGAAACUAGCACAUUAAGAACAUGAGAGAAGGCAAGGCCAGUUAUUCUCUUAGAGUGGCCUUUAAGCUUGCUUUUAACCUGCAUCAAGAAAAUGGUAUCCAAAUAAGAAGUCUUGCUUGUUAACAUAUGGGAUGUAUGACAACUACCCAUUAACUGUACUCUACCUCAUCUACGCGGACGUUAUAUAUCUGGAUUGUAGAAUCAUCCAUCCCGAUAGCAAUAAUAUUGUUAUCUUGAGGAUGGAAAGCAAGAAAUGUUGCUGCAGGUGGUGGAGGCAUGAAAGUAGUCAUUGUCUGCAUAUGGUUCAAAGAAAUAGAAAUUGGUCAAAUUAUAUGCUCAUGAAACUACAUCCAAGAAUAAAAUAUUUAUUUUUAUACAUUACCUUAAAUGUCAUCAUAUUGAAAAGGGAAAUCUUCCCUCCUGAAGCUGACAUUACAUAAGAAUCAUUCUUAGACAAAGCAAAGCAGGGAACAGCCUCUUCAGGAUUAGUGUCAGCAACAUCAUUGGUCAUUAGAAUGCCACUUGUUGGUUGCCAUAAUUGAGGUGAAACAGUGGCAGUUGCCUACACAAGGAAGCAUCUAUUAUUAUUAUGAAGAUAUCAACAACUCAUUUCCUAAAAUUGAGGCUUGGAUUAUUUGUACCUUGCCACUCGAAUUACGAUCAUUGCGCUGCCACUUCCAAAGAAAAUGAAUGGCAUUUGAUGCUAAUGCCAGAAUAGCAUUACCGGAAUUUGUAUAGAUCAACCUUGAUAUCUGCAGCAAUUAAGAAGAAACUGAUGAGGACAUUGUUUUCUUGUUGGAGGCAAAUGCAAUAUGGGAUGAGAAAAAUCCAAUGAAUCAAGAUGGAUUUCAAUUAUCAUGACUUUAUUUAAUUUAAUAAUUGUUCUAUCAAAAAAAGAUAAAACCAAAUUUAUUCAUGAUUCAAAUUGAUAUGAAAUAAAAAUCAUAAGAAAAAAAAAGCUAAAAAUGGAAAAAAAAAAAUUAAGUCCCUGUAUAUUGUCUACAUCUUAAUUGUUUUAAUUUACACCAACUUGAGAAUAUGAAUAAAUAGCACAUUUUUAGACAUCGGUUAACUCAGAUUGAGAGUGAAAGGCAAACCAGAGUUUAAACUAGCUCUAGGUUGUAGAACCACAAACACUUGCUAUGGGUACAGAAGAUACUAAAGAGUAACAAGGAAAUAUGUUAUUCAUUCAAUGCCCAAAAUUGGGUUUAUUCUCCAUGAUAGUGAUAUUUAGAUCCUGUGUCAUGGAAAAAGAAAACAGUGGAAAGUUUACAUCAUGUUUCAAGCAGAUAAUGCGUUCGACAUAGUUGCUUACUCUGAAGAUGUAUUUUUAGGGAGUUCAGAGGAAACUUUGAACUCUCCCUAACUCCACAAAUUCUUCUCCCCAAUACUUGCAUUGUCAAAAGCACCAGUGCAGAAAUAAAAACCAUACUAUACACCACCAUUUGAGGGCUCUACUCUUUUGCAACUAGUACAGCAAUGUCCCAACAGGAAAACAUAUGGAUGUUCACUCUGUAUGGUUCUAAACUUCUGGAAGUUAUCACUUCUUAUGGUUUUAAACUUCCAAAAAUCCCACACAGAACAUCCACCACUUAAUCCACUUUUGAGGUAACAGAAUUUCAAAUUAGACAUGAAGUAUGUAAGGUUUUGUUCUUGUCUUGUAAAUCUUUAUGAACUAGUUCUACUUUCUAUAAACAAUAAAGUCUCAGCUGAAAUCUAAAACCUUGACAAUUAAAGUUGCAAUAGGAAACAUCGGUCCCUGCAAGUACAGAUUUAAGGCGUAAAGAAGAACAGGUUCUGUUGAAGCACUCUGCUUUUAGGUGAGCUUAUAGAGGACACUUCCAUACAAAAUUUGAGAGGGAUGGAGAAAUGGAGAAAUAUUCUAAGUUACUUAUCUGUUGAGUAUCAAUUGAGAUAAAAGGAAAAUUUAAGGGACACCAACAAGGCUAGAUGUUCUAUAUGGGCUUUAUGACAGCAGAUAAUGUCUUUGUGGGUUCAUUGGAUAAAAGAAAAGAUGCAGCACCAAGAAGAGACAGUAAGCUAAGGUGAACUUAGAUGUAUGGAUUCAUCUAUACAGAUCAAAAGCCAAGUUAUAAAAACAUAUAAAGCUUUGCUGAAACCUGCAGCAGCUUGUAUAAGUGGGAAAAAAGCAAUCUAGCUUGGUGUAAACAAGAGUGAAUUCAAAACAUCAGUACAAUAAAUGAAGCAAAAGAUUUCAGAGGAAAGAGGAGGAAAAAAAAAUUGAUCAGUAUUUCUCAAGAAGAAAUCCAGCAAACAAAUAACAUACCUUUGUUAUUCUCAAGUUUUCUUGAAGCCUCAAUGACCGACACUGCGACGUUUCAUUGAUUUCAGUGAGCUUCCAAAUCUUUGAUUUGUCAUUUGUUUCUUCAGCUAAUCUGGGUUUCACAUCCCCCAUGUUUCUGGCGUCCCCAUUCUAACAAGAUUAAUUAUACAUUACUUGAGUAACAGGAUAACCAUAAAGCCAUGACACAAGGUUCAAUUUAUAUAAAAGAAACCAUGAUAUUUUAAAUCAGCAUUAAAUAAAAAAUAUAAAUAAAUAAAUAAGUGAGAUUAAAGGACAAAUGUUACUUUAAGCGAUGCACAUAUUCAAAAUUAGCAUGGUUUAGCGGAUAUAGAGAACACAGCUAGUUAACACACCAUUCCAGCAAUAGCAACCACAGAUGCACCUCUGUCUGCUAGUCCAGCACUAGUAGCAGCAGCAGCAGCAGCAGCAGCUGAAAUUGAAUUUAUGGCAGGCUGCAUGAAAUAAUACAUGUUCAGCAGGAUUUAUUGCAUAAUGGAGUGGAGUGAUGUGCCACAAGAACUCAUAAUCAUCAAACAGACCUACCUUUGUCACAGAUUCAGAUGCUCUUGAAGCAUCAUAAGAAAGAUUGUCAAAUGUGCGCAACAAUCUAAGACCAUCAGAAUUAGCCAAGAUUUUAAUCGAAUUCUCAUUAGCAGAAACAGCCAAGAGAGUGCCGUCCUUGUUGAAGCGAAUGCGUGGGCUUGCCUAGAAAUCAUGAAAAGCAAAGAUGAAUGAUUUAGGCCAUUUGCAUUGUUUUAAAAAUGUUUUCUUACAUUUCACUUCAAUUUAAUCAACUUACAGGAAGCCCUGGAAGCCCUCCUUCCGCAUCAAGGAUUGUUAGAAGUUGAAUGUUGUCCAUAUCCCAAAAUUUAAUAGAGAAAUCAUCGCCAGCAGCCAAAAACCGAUUUUUAGUUGUAUCAAAUUGCACAACACCCAAAGAACGUUUCCUGAACCCUUGGUAGGUCCUUUUAACUGCCCCUUCACUUUCAUUCCAUUCAACGAUAUAUGAAUCCCCAUCCUUACUUGUUCCACAUGAAAAGAGCCUGUAAAUAUGAAAACCCACCACCCGAAAGAAAAGGUAAACAUCAAAAUACUCAUCAAUAAUUCUGAUUGGCACACCAACAAAUGAUGAGGACUUGUAGCACUAGCAAAUGGGUAAGAGUAAACCAACCUUGUACCAUCUGCACUGUAAGCCAUUGUUGUGCACCAGCGACCUGGAGCAUCAUAAUCAACUCGAGAUCCCAAGUUAUCAUAUAACCAUGCUUUUAUCUUCCCAUCAAGUGCUGUUGAAAAGAUAAACUGAAGCAUAAAAGCACAAACAGAACAUCAGGACCAAGGGAUGACAGAAGAAAGUAGUUACAGGAAGGCGAAAAAACAUGACAAACUUAGAAUAGCCAAAGCUAAUGGACUUGUUACCUGAAUAUUCUCCUUAUAGUGGGGGCAGACAGAAUAAACUGCAUCCUCAUGGCCUUCAAAAGUAUACUGUUUAGUUCCAUUAGUGGCAUCCCACACCUACAAUCCCAACAUAUUAGAAAUAAUUGCAACUUUCCUGCUAUUUAAACAAUUAAAUAUUUAAUAAAGCAAGAAUGACAAACCAACCUUGAUGGUCUUGUCAUCACCACAGGUUAUAACGCAAAGUUGCUUAUUUGGAUGAGAGAAUGCCAGAUCAUUUACUCCACCAGCAUGAGCAUCAAUCUAGAUAAGAAAAAUCAGUGUCACUAGGAUUGCAAACUCAAGUGCAGCAAAAAAUCCAGAAAGAGUUUCAAUACUAUAUGUACCUCCAGAUGCUGCCGUACAUCAUCACCACCAUGAUAAGAAUAUAUUUGCACAAUGUGCCUAGAGUAUGCAACUCCUGGUUUUUGAAGGAAAAGGACACAUUAAAUACUCCUCCACUUUGAGCCUAAAAAAAAUCAUAAUGCCUAUAUUGAUGCAUCCUAACAUUCUAAAGCAUACCAAACAAAGAACCAUCCGGGCUCCAGAUUAUGCGGUUAACAGAGACACCUGGAUCUUUAGCUAGUGCUGCCUGAACAUCACCAGGAUAAGUUAAUGUUUUUGCACAUUCCAGUGGAACAAAUAUUAAGAGUACAGGGUCCAAUUGUGUAUAAUCUGGACAGGGAACAUACCUGAAGAGGCACUGAACAUGCACCAAUAUCCCAUACUUUGAAGUUCCUUGAAACCAAUUUUUGCUUAGAACCAACUUCCCACAACCCUAUGUCCCCAACAUUGGUACCAACUGAAGCACCAAUUGAGAAUACUCAAAAGUUAAUUUCUAGUUUAAGCAUCCAAAGCCUUAGAAAAAACAGAAACCGACCAAUUACCAUAUUAAGUAGCCAACCAAAAGCUUAUAUAAGAAAAAAAAGCUCCAGAAAAGGCAGACCUAAAAGCAGAGUCUGUUGUACGGGAUGAAAAUCCAUGCUCAUCGGAGAUGACCCCUGAGUCAGAUUCCGUACUAGAGUCUUGGGCAAAUCAUCAGGCGCAUUAAAAGCUUGACUAUGAC
rnacentral:lncRNA from 1 species